rnacentral:lncRNA from 1 species
AAAUGGAAACCAGGGAUAGGGCAGUCCUAAUUCCUGUUUAGUAUUAUUGUAUUCAUUCAACCUAGGGAAGGAUUUGAAUCACUAAUUUGGAUUGUUAAAGCUCUCAAGUGCCAUGAGAAUCUACAAACCAUGCUAAGUUGAUAGCAUGUGAAACUUAAGUGCUAAUUCUAUGAUGAGUUAGAGUAAUUAUUUAUCAAAAGGAAGCUUGAAUUAGAGGUCAUGAAUAUUGUGUAAUCACCUUCUAAAGAGACCUAAAUUGCAAGUUUAAGUAUUAGGGCUCUUAAUACCAUGAAAAGGCUUAAGGGAAUUGGUGCUGGCAGCUUAUAUGUAUAUGCAUGUAUCUAUCUAUAUGUUUAUGAAUAGUAUGUAUAUAAGCUGUAACUAAUAGUGAAAUCAGGGAUGAAUUGAUUCAAUUCCCUGGUUUAAAUGAUGUUCCCUGCUGUGUUAAGGAGUUGAUAAAGGAUUGCUAUGAGCUGAAUUACUUACCUUAGAAAUGAUGUUUAUAUGGACUUAUUGUAGCCAUAAGUAGCAGCCUGGAUGCUUCCAGACUUGUAGAGGUGGCCGAACAGCAACCUGAUGCUAUUGGUGCUGAGGAAAAAUUAGUUGGAGUUGUAGGGAAGGUGGCAAAGCUGAGAGUAAUCCAAGAGGACAGCAAUGUAAGCUAAGUUAAUAACUUAGUGUGACUAACUUAAUUGCUCAGAAUUAAUCCAUAAAAGGAUUCAUUAUUGCUGAAAAUUGAGAGUUGAAAUUGAUGUUGUUGGGGCUGCCAAAUCGAAGGAUUCAGCUGAAAGAGAGUUGGGCCUAUUGGAGCUGUUGAUUCAGGAGGCCAGCUAAAACGAAACUCUAGAAAGUUAAGAGCAACCUAGAGAAGCCGAGGUGCUGAAAUUUCUGCAUUGCGCAGAAUUUCAGCAUAGAUUACUUGCUAUUGGAGUUGGAAAAGAGAACUUAGUGAAGCUUCAAAUUGGGUAAGUGAAUAGUUCUUCUCUGAGUUGAGUGAUAGGAGUUACUCUAAAGAGGUUAUAAGUACUUGAAUUAGUUAAUUGGAAUUGGUAUAGGGGCUGCGAAGAGGAAGUAAAGUGCAGAAAAUUCAGCAUGGUGCUGAAAUUUCAGCAUAAGUGCAGAAAUUUCAGCAUUAGAAAUUCCUGCUGUGGAGCUGAGAACGAACUAAUUGAGCAGCGAACUACGGUAAAUAUGAUUGUAUCAUGAUUAGGAAUCAGUUAAUUGUAAUAGAGGGAUGUUAAUUAAGAGUUCUAUGGGUAUUUGAGUUAAUGAAAACUCAAACCUGCAUUGAGGAGUUACUAGUUUGAACCUUAUAAAACUAGCUUACACUCUAUACAUGUACAUACUAGGAAUGAUCAGUAAAGAGAAAAUUGGGAUUAAAUUAGCUUUAAAUUUUGAGCUAAUGGAAAGGCAAAACUGCAUUGCUAAAUUCCUAAUUAAACUCUAUAAAGUUAGCUCACACUAUACAUAGCAUGUAUGUAUAUACAUAUGGAUGUCUAUGGAUAUAAUGUCAAAAUGGAAGACUGAAUUAAGUAGUUUAAAUUCUGAAUUAGAGUAAGAAUAAUGGCUGUAGAGAAAUGGAUUUGGGAGGCUAUUAAGGUCUCUACAUAAUAUGAAAUGUAUAGAACUAACUAUAGGUAUGUACAUAGUGAUACUAUACAUACUAGUUGGGGUUAAAUGCAAAGUUUGUAAAGAUACACAUGUGACUCAAGUUUAACCUCUUUUAUUCCUUUAGGAAGGAAGGGUAAGCGUGCUCGGAAGUUCGAAUUGACAUUUCGACGGACCUACGACGCGGUAAUUAAGAAACGCUUCGUUCUAGCUUUACUUGCAUCGAGUCGCGUGGACUAAUGUUUGUACGGUUCGUGACGUUGGUUCUAGUCUUCGACAUCCCUACAGGUGGGUGGUGCUAUCCGAAGUCUUUGAAUCACCUUUUAUGUCUAUGUUAUUCAUUGAGCAUAUUUACUUCUGUUUUUCAUGCAUUAUAGGGUAUGGGCAUUGGUAUUAUGCAAGUGAUAGUGAAUGUGUGAAUUCUUAUUGAUAGUGAGAACAUAUGAACAUAGAAUGUGGACAUAGAAACCUAUGAAUGCAUGGACUAUAACAAUAGUGAACUUGGUGACAUAUGACUAGAGAUUUGGUUAGCAUCGACAUUGGAAUUAUAAAACUAGCAUAAAGAGCUAGUUAGAGUAAAGUGUGACAGUGUUUGUCAGUUAAAUCCUCUAAAGGGGGAUCAGAUCAUACUCACAUUUGUUUGGUUCAAGUGAGGUCGCUCCUCCUUGAACGAUGAGCUCCGGAGUAGUCAUCUUUACUGGACCAGGAGGUUGCGUCUCCCCCAGUUGACAGUCCCGUCGGGUGCAGGUUGCGUCUCCCCGAUAUUUGGGAUAGUGUCAGUGAGUUAAUGUUAACCAGAGGGUUAACCAAAAGAUUGGGUAAAGAUAAUGAAAAGCAUGCAUGCAUAUUUACAGUUUUCAUAUACAUCGUUUCUUUCAGCUUGUACAGGCAUUGUAGUAGUUACAUAUUAUAGUCGGUUACUAUCNAAAACCGAGUGAUGAGAAUAGGCUUCCUUGCAGGACUUUCGCCUGAUUUGAGUUGGGUUGACGAUAGUUGUUUCGUGUUUGAUCUUGAAGGUCAAGAAUUGGUCACGUUGUUACGCGUUUAGUGGUUUAGUGUAGUUGAUCUCUAAUAAGAUCGAUAUGAUUCGGGAUGAGUGGAAUCCUUGAAUUGACCGGGCUUGAAGGAAACUUGAAGCUUUGGGAUCAGUUAGUCACACCGUGGUGGCGUCGUGGUGUUGUAUAGUCAUAGUUCAAUGUCAGCGAUAGGCUAUAGUGUAUUUGGUGGAUUGAGUCAAUGGACUCUAGAAGGCUGUGAAGUAGUUGGAUAAUCCUUGUGGCCUUCAGGAAAGUUUAGUCCAUCUGUUUUGGAUAAAGGAAUGUUCGCGGGUCAAGAAUCUGUCGUUUGGCUUCAGAAAAAUUUUUCCCUGGAAGGAUUUGUGUAUUGAGGACAGGAUAUAGAGUUUGUUGUUGGAAUAAACGACAGGUGACCUUUUAGAUAAGUUGAGAAACUAUAGCAGAGUGACUGCUUAGUGAAAGAGUAUGUAGAGAGAUUUUUCUGCACGCUGAAGUGUGUUGAGCAUACGUUGUGAGAUAUUGGAGACAAGGCCGAUUACGAGGUGUGGAAGCUUCGAUAGAGGAUGUGUCAAAGUUAUACGCAGUCCUAAUCUAUGAACUUCUGAUGAAGUAUUGAACUGAAUCGUAUGGCUGAGGUCAGGUGAUAUUCGCGCGGAAGGAGCACGAAUGGAUUAGUAAAGAAUGGGGGAUGAACGAUUGAUGUAUGGUUCGGGUGGUCCAUCGAGUGUUAAGCGACACCGGAAGAGAGUUACAGUCUUCAUCCUAGAAUUCGAAAAGGUCUGUCGACUAACUUUUUUUUCAAGAGGAGUGGUUGUGGUAAUCUUCACCGGCAAGGCCGCGUGUAUUAUCGGAUAAGUGAAAUGGUAGUAAAAUGACUUCAGUAGGAAGAUUGUAUACUUGGGAAUGAUGUGAACUCCGAAUAGUAUUUACAAGAGUGUGAUAGAGCCUUGGAUUUAACACUAGCACGCAAGGAUGAAGAAAAAUGUAUCGUCUAUUGUAGAAUAGACGGUUGGAUAAUGCUAGUGGGUAAUUAUAGUAAGCCAAUAUUGGGGCUUGAGAUAAAGAUGGGAAUGGUGAACCUAAAUAGUAACUAUAGUGAGCCACUGUUGGGGCUUGGGAUAAAGAAUGAAUGAUGAACUUGUUUUUUAAAGCAUUCGGAUUGUAAUGAGAAUUAAAUUGAAACGUUAGAAGACGCUUCUAGAGUUCGAAAAUUCGGAUGAUAUUCCAAGAGACUGUGUAAUGGUAAUAGCGUCAUUGUGGUAGAACGGUUAGAUGAUCACCUGGUUUUGGCGAGUUAGUUGAGUUGUACCUCAAAUAAGUUGAGGGAAUUUGUGUUUACAUAUAUGAGGCAUAGGCCGAGUUGCCUAGUGGGUGAUAUCUAAUGAGAGAUGAGAUAGUGUAGGACACUUGAGUUUAGUUGUCCGUAGAGUGUGGAUUGUGGCUCAGCCAAGAGAGUGUGUUGGCAGUAGCACGUGAGCGUUGCUAGGUGUGAAGCGUGCCAUGGAUCACUCGCGGGGCUAGUAGCUCGCACUAAGUACUUAGGAGCCGAUAGUAAUGUGGAUUGCUCGAUAGAACAUGUCGUGUGUGACGACCGUUGAGGAUAUAGCUUGAGGACGAUCCGUGCCUGGACCAUGUGUGGACCUUGGAGCCUGAGGCUAUUCGAGUAAGCAUAGUCGGCUGUGUGCGACAGCGGCCCGAUACCUAUUGGUGGGCAGAGAUUUGGUCAGGACGGUAGUCCGAGCUUAGACUGGUAACGUGGCAUACCACGUAUUGGACCGUGUGAUUAGUGGUACACCGAGAGUGUGAAUUUGACCCAACCCUAAAAUUCGAAAUGGUUUGGGAUUUGGAUUACUCCUGAUUGGAGUAAAUGUGCGAGGUUUCAAAUGAGGACUUUGCCUCGUGAUGAUUGGGUCUGCGCUUGCGAGCGAGACACGUUAAGUGAUAUCGUAAUCAAGUUAGGCGGUAGGCCUAGAUUGGAUUAGGGGUUAUGGACCAGUUUGUGGUAAUCGAGAUAAAUGGUCGAGCCGAUUAUUCUCGAAAUACGAGGGUUAGUGUAGUGUUGUGAAUCGGGGGUAGUGACCUUGGGAGCAAAGGCUCGGUCCUACUGUUUGCCUGUUUUGAAUCGCCGAGUUAGGCGCUGAUGAGGAGUUAAGAUUAGAGGCACGAACAAAAGUGUUCAUGGAGACUCGUUGCGAGAGAUUGGUAUAAUGCGAACGUGGCCGGAAAAGUAAAAGAUUUUCUUUGAGAUCAUUGUGUAGUGGAAGCCACGUGAGAUUUUGGAGGAUUAUGCCUUCAAAUCAUUNNNNNNNNNNNNNNNNNNNNNNNNNNNNNNNNNNNNNNNNNNNNNNNNNNNNNNNNNNNNNNNNNNNNNNNNNNNNNNNNNNNNNNNNNNNNNNNNNNNNNNNNNNNNNNNNNNNNNNNNNNNNNNNNNNNNNNNNNNNNNNNNNNNNNNNNNNNNNNNNNNNNNNNNNNNNNNNNNNNNNNNNNNNNNNNNNNNNNNNNNNNNNNNNNNNNNNNNNNNNNNNNNNNNNNNNNNNNNNNNNNNNNNNNNNNNNNNNNNNNNNNNNNNNNNNNNNNNNNNNNNNNNNNNNNNNNNNNNNNNNNNNNNNNNNNNNNNNNNNNNNNNNNNNNNNNNNNNNNNNNNNNNNNNNNNNNNNNNNNNNNNNNNNNNNNNNNNNNNNNNNNNNNNNNNNNNNNNNNNNNNNNNNNNNNNNNNNNNNNNNNNNNNNNNNNNNNNNNNNNNNNNNNNNNNNNNNNNNNNNNNNNNNNNNNNNNNNNNNNNNNNNNNNNNNNNNNNNNNNNNNNNNNNNNNNNNNNNNNNNNNNNNNNNNNNNNNNNNNNNNNNNNNNNNNNNNNNNNNNNNNNNNNNNNNNNNNNNNNNNNNNNNNNNNNNNNNNNNNNNNNNNNNNNNNNNNNNNNNNNNNNNNNNNNNNNNNNNNNNNNNNNNNNNNNNNNNNNNNNNNNNNNNNNNNNNNNNNNNNNNNNNNNNNNNNNNNNNNNNNNNNNNNNNNNNNNNNNNNNNNNNNNNNNNNNNNNNNNNNNNNNNNNNNNNNNNNNNNNNNNNNNNNNNNNNNNNNNNNNNNNNNNNNNNNNNNNNNNNNNNNNNNNNNNNNNNNNNNNNNNNNNNNNNNNNNNNNNNNNNNNNNNNNNNNNNNNNNNNNNNNNNNNNNNNNNNNNNNNNNNNNNNNNNNNNNNNNNNNNNNNNNNNNNNNNNNNNNNNNNNNNNNNNNNNNNNNNNNNNNNNNNNNNNNNNNNNNNNNNNNNNNNNNNNNNNNNNNNNNNNNNNNNNNNNNNNNNNNNNNNNNNNNNNNNNNNNNNNNNNNNNNNNNNNNNNNNNNNNNNNNNNNNNNNNNNNNNNNNNNNNNNNNNNNNNNNNNNNNNNNNNNNNNNNNNNNNNNNNNNNNNNNNNNNNNNNNNNNNNNNNNNNNNNNNNNNNNNNNNNNNNNNNNNNNNNNNNNNNNNNNNNNNNNNNNNNNNNNNNNNNNNNNNNNNNNNNNNNNNNNNNNNNNNNNNNNNNNNNNNNNNNNNNNNNNNNNNNNNNNNNNNNNNNNNNNNNNNNNNNNNNNNNNNNNNNNNNNNNNNNNNNNNNNNNNNNNNNNNNNNNNNNNNNNNNNNNNNNNNNNNNNNNNNNNNNNNNNNNNNNNNNNNNNNNNNNNNNNNNNNNNNNNNNNNNNNNNNNNNNNNNNNNNNNNNNNNNNNNNNNNNNNNNNNNNNNNNNNNNNNNNNNNNNNNNNNNNNNNNNNNNNNNNNNNNNNNNNNNNNNNNNNNNNNNNNNNNNNNNNNNNNNNNNNNNNNNNNNNNNNNNNNNNNNNNNNNNNNNNNNNNNNNNNNNNNNNNNNNNNNNNNNNNNNNNNNNNNNNNNNNNNNNNNNNNNNNNNNNNNNNNNNNNNNNNNNNNNNNNNNNNNNNNNNNNNNNNNNNNNNNNNNNNNNNNNNNNNNNNNNNNNNNNNNNNNNNNNNNNNNNNNNNNNNNNNNNNNNNNNNNNNNNNNNNNNNNNNNNNNNNNNNNNNNNNNNNNNNNNNNNNNNNNNNNNNNNNNNNNNNNNNNNNNNNNNNNNNNNNNNNNNNNNNNNNNNNNNNNNNNNNNNNNNNNNNNNNNNNNNNNNNNNNNNNNNNNNNNNNNNNNNNNNNNNNNNNNNNNNNNNNNNNNNNNNNNNNNNNNNNNNNNNNNNNNNNNNNNNNNNNNNNNNNNNNNNNNNNNNNNNNNNNNNNNNNNNNNNNNNNNNNNNNNNNNNNNNNNNNNNNNNNNNNNNNNNNNNNNNNNNNNNNNNNNNNNNNNNNNNNNNNNNNNNNNNNNNNNNNNNNNNNNNNNNNNNNNNNNNNNNNNNNNNNNNNNNNNNNNNNNNNNNNNNNNNNNNNNNNNNNNNNNNNNNNNNNNNNNNNNNNNNNNNNNNNNNNNNNNNNNNNNNNNNNNNNNNNNNNNNNNNNNNNNNNNNNNNNNNNNNNNNNNNNNNNNNNNNNNNNNNNNNNNNNNNNNNNNNNNNNNNNNNNNNNNNNNNNNNNNNNNNNNNNNNNNNNNNNNNNNNNNNNNNNNNNNNNNNNNNNNNNNNNNNNNNNNNNNNNNNNNNNNNNNNNNNNNNNNNNNNNNNNNNNNNNNNNNNNNNNNNNNNNNNNNNNNNNNNNNNNNNNNNNNNNNNNNNNNNNNNNNNNNNNNNNNNNNNNNNNNNNNNNNNNNNNNNNNNGCCGUACCCACUGGGAACCAUGGAGUUGGUUCUCACCCCACGUUGUUUUGGGGUGUUACAGGUAUACACGUGAGCGGCGCGGCGGCGCGAGGCGAGGGCGUAGCUCCGUAGUUAGCGCCCUACCACCGAGACCGGAGAUAGCGGUACCCUGAGUCGGCCUUUACUUAGGGAUGUAAGGAAAUGAAAGGAAUCAAGUUGUAAUAAUUUGUAAUAAAAGCAUGAUUGUAUUUGGAAGUUAAAUGUAUUAUGUAAUUGAGAUGUAAAAUGUAUCUAUAUAAUGUGAAUGCUUGUAAUAGCAAGUAGAUUAUGUUUUUGAUACUUCCUUAUGCAAUCUUUGAUUGAAAUGUGUUCCUGGUUGGAACUUUGUACAUUGUAUUGAUUGCGACGCCUUGAAUGUACAGGGGAGACUCUGUCCGCGGUACCGGAAAAACCCUGUCCAUUCGGCGGUCUGUCGGCGUGCCCGAAACCGGCCAAAUAGGCGGGCUCGGGGCGUGACACGAACCCACUGGGAACUUUGUUUAGUUCUCAAACCCUGUUUUGCAGAGCCUAAUACGAGCGCGUGCGUCGAGGAUCACGGCAAGGGUAUCGCGCCCUAGAUAGAGUGGACCAUCGGCAUUAGCUCACUACCAUCGAGUAUAAAAGGAAAGAAUGAAUGUAAAAACCUUUUUGGAAAGAGAAUGUGAUAUAUAUGUUAGAUGUUAGUUUGUAUGUUAAAUGAGAGGUUUUGUAAUAAGCUAAAGAAUGUAAGUUGUUAAACACACUAUGUGGAAAUGUUCUAGUAAGUAGCUUACUUUCUCUCGUAUCUUGAUAUGCCUCUCGCAAAUGUUGAAUGCUAAUAUCUCUUGUUUAGAUAUGUAUGCAUAGACUUUGUUACGCUUCGGGCGGGCAGGGGAAACUCUGUCUGUUCUGCAGGUCUGUUUCGGACCCGAACUGUCCAAAUUGGCGGUGACGGGACGUGACAGAUUGAGGUGGUAUCAGAGCGGAGAGCGGUCUAGGAAGACCUAGGAAACCUUAGGACUUGUGGCCUUAAGGAUUUAGAGACGUGAGAGACGAUGACUCUUGGGUUGUGGCGAAAGUGAAAUGAUUGGGUCAAGUUGUGAAAUAUGUCUCUAAUGAGCUUUAGAGACGGAUUCAAGGUGUGAUUUAAUCUUAGCUUGAGGUGGUCAUGUUGGCGGCCGACAACAUGAUGCCGAGAGAUGAGAUUAAGUACCCUUGUUUAACUUUCGCCUAAUUGGGUUGUCUCGUUGGUGUUACUAACUUAUGUUAGUUAUAAAUUCGUGGAGUGUAACCGGGGGUGCUGUUUCCUUUCAGGACGUGAUGAGACGUGGAAGGCCACCCCCGAAGGUACCUACUCCUGAUCCGGCACCGCCUCUUGAGGUGCCUGAGUCGUCGGUAUCUGGCGAGAUACAAGAUUUGCGGGAUCAAGUUGCCGCUCUUGUUGGAGUGGUGCGGAGACAAGCUGAAGCUUCUCAGCAGCUGGCUGAGGCCUCCCAGCGACAGGAAGAACAGAUGGCGCUGCUUCGGGAAUUGGUGUCCCGACAGGCGGCGGCGACACCUGUCACUCAGCAGCCACCCGUCUCACCUGUGCGCGCCCCUACUGGAGUUGAGGCGGCGGGUGCGGCGGCACCACCGCCGAUGGGGUACACCGUGCCACCAGGUGUGGCGGCGGGCACUUGCCCGGCGAUGUCGAGUACUUCUACUCAUGUUGAUCCGGCGUUGGAGGCCGAGAGGGACCGAGCUCUCGCUUGCCUCACCGCAUUCAAGAAGUUCAAUCCGCCUAUUUUCAACGGGGAGUCGGGUGACCCGUGGGAAAUGGAAUCGUGGGUGGAUACAAUGGAGAAGUUGUUCGAGGAUCUCUAUACCCUUGAGCAAGAUAAGGUGCACCUAGCUGUGCAUUGCCUCGAGAAGUCCGCUCGUGUUUGGUGGAAGGCGACUCGUCAGAAUCGCUCCCCUACAUUACCCCCGAUGAUGUGGGAGGAGUUCCGAGGAUUGCUUUAUGGUGUUCACUUCCCGGAUAGUGAUAAGAAGAAAAUGGAGGAGCAAUUCCGAAUCCUUAAGCAAGGGGAUCGCACUGUUCGAGAUUAUGAGAGGGAGUUCUCUCACAUUGUGAAUUGCGUUCCACAUGUGGUCCGGAGUGACGAAGACAAGGCGGGAUGCUUUGAGCGUGGACUUCGCCGCGAGAUCUAUGCGGCGAUGCAACCCUUAAGGUUGAAGACCUUUACUGAGGUGUUUGAUAGAGCUCUUUGGGUAGAGCAAGGAAUCGCCAAGAUGCGCGCGGAGCGCGAAUCGAAUGAUAAGGGUGCAGAUAAGAAGCGGUCGGCUAGUGGUCCCGCUGGAUCAUCAAAGUACAAGAAGCCCCCGAAGUAUCCGCGUAAGCCGGGGAAGGAUCGUGGACCUCCUCACUGCUACAUUUGUGGGGGAAAUCAUCGGUCCCACGACUGUGAGCGGCGUGGGAAGUGUUAUCAGUGUGGGCAACCUGGUCAUGGAUGGCGUGAGUGCCCAAUGCGUGUGUCACCGGCUCCGACUUCUGCUUCGGCUCCGCCUGCUCCGCGACAGUUCACAGGCCAUCCGCCCGCGAUGUCUACUGGACGCACCAUGGUGCCGCGUCAAGCCGAGGGAUCUCGUGCGGCGCCAAGUGGACGAGUUUAUGCUGCUCAAGUGGAGGAGCCUGCCGUAGCCGACGAUGUCGUGGCAGGUAUUAUUUUAGUUCAUAAUACUAGAGCUAGAGCAUUGUUUGACACUGGCGCAUCAAACUCAUUUAUUAGCAAGUCUUUCGCUAAAGCUCAUGACAUUGAAAUUUCAUUGUGUGCGGACUUUUGGUGGGUGGAUGCACCUGAGCACACAUUUAGUAUCAAGGAUGAAUGUAGAGCUUGUCCGGUGCAAAUUGGCGAUUGGAUCAUGCCAGUGAAUUUGCUUGUGUUGAACCGGAUGAAGGGCUUCGACAUAGUCCUUGGAAUCGAUUGGCUCUCAAAGUAUCAUGCCACCAUAGAUUGUAAAAGCAAGGUGAUCACUUUUUGUGAGCCUGGUCAGAAGGAAGUUGUUUAUCGUGCAUGCAAGAGCUCGCUCUUUGCUAUGACAGUGUCGACGUCAAGAGCAAGAAGGUUGAUUAAAAGUGGAUGUGAAGCCUACUUGGCGUCGGUGGUGGAGACUCAAAAAGAGCUCCCAGCUCUUGGGGACAUUCCGGUCGUAUGUGAAUUUCCGGAUGUAUUUCCCGCGGAAUUACCGGGAUUGCCACCGGACCGGGAGAUCGAAUUUGUGAUUGAAUUAAUUCCCGGGACGACGCCGAUUUCUAAAGCUCCUUACCGCAUGGCACCAGCGGAGUUGAAGGAAUUAAAGGCACAGUUGCAAGACCUUCUCGACAAGGGCUUUGUUAAGCCGAGUGUAUCACCGUGGGGAGCCCCGGUGUUGUUUGUAAAGAAGAAAGACGGAUCGCUUCGACUCUGCGUGGAUUAUCGCGAGUUGAACAAGGUCACAAUCAAGAACAAGUACCCGUUGCCUCGUAUUGACGACUUGUUUGAUCAGUUGCAAGGGUCGCGGGUAUAUUCGAAGAUUGACCUCCAGUCGGGCUAUCAUCAGUUGAAGGUUAAGCCGGAGGAUGUGCAUAAGACUGCGUUUCGGACGCGGUAUGGGCACUAUGAAUUCACGGUUAUGCCAUUUGGACUCACGAAUGCCCCGGCGGCUUUCAUGGACUUAAUGAACCGUAUCUUCAAGUCUUACUUGGACCGUUUUGUCGUAGUCUUCAUAGACGACAUCUUGGUCUACUCUCGGAGUGAUGAAGAGCAUGUGGAGCACUUGAGAAUUGUGCUACAACUACUUCGGGAGGAGAAAUUAUAUGCCAAGUUAAAGAAAUGCGACUUUUGGCUUCGGAAAGUUGCAUUCCUUGGGCAUGUGAUCUCGGCUGACGGAGUUUCGGUUGACUCGGGUAAGGUGGAGGCAAUAAAGAAUUGGCCUCGCCCGACGAAUGUGACUGAGGUUAGAAGCUUUUUGGGCCUUGCCGGCUAUUAUAGACGGUUCGUGGAAGGAUUUGCUAAGAUAUCUCUUCCACUAACGCGUCUUACUCAGAAAGGAGUUAAGUUUGCGUGGAGCGAGGAUUGUGCUCGAGGCUUUGGGGAAUUAAAGAAGAGAUUGACUACAGCUCCGGUCCUUGCCUUACCUACUCCCGGUGAGAGUUUUGUGGUGUAUAGCGAUGCUUCGCGAUUGGGUCUUGGGUGCGUGUUGAUGCAACGCGGGCAAGUUAUUGCAUAUGCUUCCCGACAGUUGAAGGCCUAUGAGAAAAAUUAUCCAACCCAUGAUCUCGAGUUGGCUGCCGUGGUCUUCGCACUCAAGUUGUGGAGACACUAUUUGUAUGGCGAGCGUUGCGAAGUAUACACCGACCACAAGAGCCUCAAGUAUCUGUUUACACAGAAAGAAUUGAACCUGAGGCAGCGCCGAUGGUUAGAAUUGUUGAAAGACUAUGACAUCACAAUUCUUUACCAUCCGGGAAAGGCUAAUGUGGUUGCCGAUGCAUUAAGUCGGAAGUCGGUGGAAAAUCUUGCGAUGAUGAUUACUAAACAACCGCCAUUGCUUGAAGAAUUGCGGCGUUUCAAUUUGGAAGUGGUAGCUCCGAACGUUCCAAUUGUUAUUGCAAGCUUAGUGGUGCGACCGACCUUGUUGGAGAAAGUUAAGACUCAACAGUUACAAGAUUCAUAUCUCCAAAAGGUGCGAGGUGAUGUUGAGGGUGGACAUGCGAAUGAUUUCAACGUUGGCUCCGAUGGCACAAUCCGGUUUCGAGGCCGAUUAUGUGUUCCUAGUGAUGAGGGAAUGCGGAGCGAGAUCAUGCAAGAAGCACACCAAUCCCCUUAUAGCAUACAUCCGGGUGGCACUAAGAUGUAUAAGGAUUUGAGAAACCAUUAUUGGUGGCCCGGGAUGAAGAAGGAUAUUGGUCGCUUUGUGGCGCAAUGUUUGGUGUGCCAACAAGUUAAGGCCGAACAUCGACUCCCUGCGGGAAAGCUACAAAGUUUACCAAUCCCCGUGUGGAAAUGGGAGGACGUGACUAUGGACUUGGUAGUGGGUUUACCUCGUUCUCAAGGCGGUCACGAUGCAAUAUGGGUGGUCGUGGAUCGCCUCACGAAAUCUGCGCAUUUCAUGCCAAUCCACACCACAUGGUCAGGUGAUAAACUUGCACAAGUUUAUUUGGAUGAGGUGGUCCGACUACAUGGUGUUCCGGUAUCAAUUGUGUCGGAUCGAGACCCUCGAUUUACUUCCCAGUUUUGGAAGAACUUGCAAAGUGCUCUUGGCACACGGCUCGAAUUUAGUACUGCCUUUCAUCCUCAGAGCGAUGGUCAGUCGGAGAGGACGAUACAAAUCCUUGAGGAUAUGUUGCGAGCAUGUGUUCUUGACUUCAAAGGAGGUUGGCAUAGUUAUUUGCCAAUGGCGGAGUUUGCCUAUAAUAAUAGUUAUCAAGCGAGCAUUGGAAUGGCACCGUUCGAGGCCUUGUAUGGACGGAAGUGCCGCUCCCCAAUACAUUGGAGUGAAGUUGGAGAGCGACUUGAAAUGGGUCCAGAUGUAGUACAAGAGGCCGAGGAGAAGGUUCGCAUUGCUCGGCAAAGAAUGCUAACGGCACAGUCUCGGCAAAAGAGCUAUGCUGACAAGCGCCGACGAAGCCUCGAGUUUACCGUGGGUGACAAGGUAUUCUUAAAAGUCUCCCCUAUGCGAGGCGUUAAGCGAUUUGGAAUGCGAGGGAAGUUAAGUCCUCGCUAUGUUGGGCCGUAUGAGAUUUUGGAUCGGGUUGGCCCCGUGGCUUAUCGGUUAGCAUUGCCACCUCGACUUGCGGGAGUGCACAAUGUGUUCCAUGUGUCGACACUCCGCAAGUAUGUUUCUAACUCUACGCAUGUACUCCAAUAUGAACCACCCGAGCUUCAGGAGGAUAUGUCGUACGAAGAAUUUCCGGUGCGCAUCCUAGCUCAUGAGGAGAGAAAGCUACGGAAUCGUGCGAUCGCAUAUGUCAAAGUUCAAUGGAGUAAUCAUGCUGAACGAGAAGCUACGUGGGAGCUCGAAAGCAAGAUGCAUGAAGAGUAUCCUUACCUCUUCCCCGAGUCUAAUUGAGGUAUAAUUUCAAGUUUCGAGGACGAAACUUCUUUUAAGGAGGGGAGGAUGUAGUGUACCGAAUUUUAACAUAGAAGUAAGAGUAAAUAAAAAUAGUGUAAAAUACUAUUUUUAUUGGACUUAAAGAAGUUUUCUAUGUGCAAAUGAGGUGCUUACUUGGGGGUUAAGUUUCCUAUGCAUAAGUAAAGAGUUUACUUGGGGGUCAAGUUUUCUAUGGCUAAGUAAUGGGCUAACUUGGAGGCUAAGUUUCCUAACUUGGAGGCUAAGUUUCCUAUGUAUAUAUAAAUAUGAUAUGAGGACUUGGACCUUUUCUCUCAUUUUCCACCCCUUAACCCAAAAAGAGAAGCCUUCUCUUUCCCUCUCUAAACCUCUCUCUCUCCUAGCUCCUAGAGUGUUACUCCAAAAGUGGAGAUUUGGUGGAAGAAGCUUACUUGGAGGUGGAGCUUUCCUCUUCCUCACCAUUGGCUUGAAGAGAGCUUGGGUUUGGAUCGGAAGGAAUCGACGGCCGUAAAUCGCGCUACUAGGCUACCCGCUUUGUGUCGACGCCACAAGGUGGGGGGUGCUAUCCGAAAUAGCCGGGUUUCAUUCUAUGUCUAAGUUCUACUAUUUUUUGAUCAUAUAUCAUCAUGUGUAGAAUAGUGAGAAUCCUAUGAGUUGUGGUAAUUUCAUGCUUAGUGUGAGGGAUGAUGAUCUAUGAUUGCAUGAUACUUGUAGGAAUAUCUAUUUGCAUGAUGUUGAGAUAGAUAUGGACAUGUAUGUUGCAUGAGAACCUUUAUAUGAUGCCAAUAUAGAUGUAUGUAUACAUAUAGCAUGAGUUGCUAGUGGACAUAUGCAUGUGGAUAUGAUGUGAGAAUAGACUAGAUUCAUGAGGAACUAGUAUGUGAACCAAUGACAUUUGAGAAUUGGAAACCUAUGCAUAUGUGGCCGACUUGAGCAUGCCUUGUGAUGAGGACUUGAUGAUACUCGCUUUGUCUGUUAUAGCUUGUGGAUGGUCGCGCCUCCCAAGCAGUGAGCUCCGGAGUUGUAUCACAAUUGCGAAUAAAGCGGGGGGCCUCUCCCGUCAGACGUCACGGUCCCGUGACAGUGUGUGCGAGUGGUUCGACCUUCGGGCGAAUCGAUUGGACUUGGCAAAAGGCAUGAUCAUGGCAUUUCAUAUAUCGUUUGCAUACAUGAUAGAACUUAAAUUCAUACUUGUUGACAUGAUUAGUAAAGGCAUAGCUACACAUUUGAGCAUGAUAUAGAUGUAGAUGAGCAAGGUAGGCUUGUUGUUAUAUCUCUUAUUUCUUUGACAUAUUAUCCUCUUUAUUGUUUCUAUGCCUUUCUUGGACCUAGUGGGAAAAUCGGCGGGGUCGGCGGCCGAACCCACUGGGAACUUUGUUUAGUUCUCACACCCUGUUUUACAGAGCCUAGUACGAGCGCGUGCGUCGAGGAUCGCGGCAAGGGCAUCGCGCCCUAGAUAGAGUGGACAAUCGACAUUAGCUCGCUACCCCCUAUGUAUAGCAAGGAAUGAAUGAAUGUAAAAACCCUUUUGGAAAGAGAAUAUGAUGUGUAUGUUAAAUGAGAGGUUUUGUAAUAAGCUAGAGAAUGUAAGUUGUUAAAGACUCUAUGUGGAAAUGUUUUAGUAAGUAGCUUGCUUUCUCUUGUGUCUUGAUAUGCCUCUCGCAAAUGUUGAAUGCUAAUAUCUCUUGUUUAGAUAUGUAUGCAUGGACUUUGUUACGCCUUGGGCGGAUAGGGGAAACUCUAUCCGUUCGGCGGAUCUGUUUCAGACCCGAACUGUCCAAAUUGGCGGUGACGGGACGUGACANACUUUUCGGUCGUUUGAAUUUGGGUUUAGUUUAACGACUUUUCGGUUGUUUGAAUUUGGGUUUAGUUUAGCAAUUUUUUGAUCGAUUGAAAUCGAGAUGUUCAUGAAACCGAUUCAUGAAAUUAAUUCAUGCUAGGAGCCCGUUUGUAAAGUCCAUUAAAUUUAUGACAAGGAGGGCCCAUGAAAUUAAUUUAUAGAAUUAAUUCAUGAUAGGGGGCCUAUUUGGCAAACCCAUGAAAUUAAUUUGUCAAAUUAAUUCAUGAUAGGAGGUCCAUUUGGAAAGUCUAUAAAACUAAUUCAUGAUAAGGGGGCCUAUUUUGCAAACCAUGAAAUUAAUUCGUAGAAUUAAUUUAUGAUAAGGGGUCAUUUGGAAAGCUCAGGAAAUUAAUUCAUAGAAUUAAUUUAUAAUAAAGAGCCCAUUUGGAAAGCCCAUGAAUUCGGUUUGGGUUGGAGGUAUUUGGAUGACAUAGGUUUGGUAGAUUUGGUUGGGUUUUAUUUAUGAACUUUGGAUUUUGGAUCUUUGAGUUUUGGAUCUUUAUUUGUGGAUUUUGGAUUUUUGGGAUUUUGUUUGUGGGCUGAGAUAGAUCUUGGAUUUUAUAUGUUCAGGGCCCAACUCUGCAUGUGGGCUGAGACGGGUUACGGGCUUUAAUAUUCUGGGCUCGAAUCUGUAUGUGGGCUGGGUUUUUUAUUGAUUUUGAAUCCAAAUCUGCGUAUGGGCUGGAUUUCGGGCUCUACAGGUUGUGGACUCGAAUUUGCAUGUGGGGUUGGUGCCUCUCUUUUUUUAUUGCUUAUAAAGUUUAUUCGUGUAACCCAUAAAUAAAUAGCUCAAAUUCAUUUCAUCAACAAUUUUUUUUGGUUCCAUUUUUUUUGUUCUUUCUUUUUUUUUUUUUAACUGAGAGAAGGAACAACUUUUUUUUUGCAUUUGUUCUUUUCUUUCAUUUUCUUUUCUUUUUUUUCUCUUUUUUUUGUGUGGACUGUCAGAGAGAGAGAGAGAUACAACUCCCUCUCUCUUUGUCUGUGUGUGUACGAAAUUGAGACAGAGAGAGAGAGGGGGUACCUCUCCCUUUUCUUUUUUUUUUUUGCUAAUUGUGAGAGAAAGGAAACCCAACUCCUUUUUUUUUUCUUUUCUUUUUUUUUUUCUUCUUUUCUUUCUUUUUCCUUUUUUUUUGCUGACUGUGAGAGAGAGAGAGAGGGAAAACCCAACUCUCUCUCUCUCUCUCUCUCUCUCUCUUUCUUUGUGUGCGUACGAAACCGAGGGAGAGAGAGUAGUACCCAACAACUCCUUUUUUUUUUUCUUUCUUUUCUUUCUUUUCUUUUCUUUUUUAUUCUUUCUUUCUUCUUUUUUUCUUUUGUGUUGACUGCCAGAUAGAGAGAAGUCCAACUUUUUUUUCUUUUUCUUCUUUUUUUGUUUGUUUGUUUGUUUGUUUUUUUUUAUUAUUUGUCCAAAUAUACGAAAUUUCGUAUCUCAUUUUUUUUAUACGAAAUUUAUCACGUCGAGCAAUACGAUCAAAUCGAACGAAGAUGAUGAAUCAAAACAGAACCCGUCCAUUUUUAAUUAUCAUUCUUAUUGUUAUUAUUUUUUGUCGCGUUUUGUUCAAGUACGCGGAGUUUAAUCGUGUCGAGCCUAUCACGAAGAUGGCCGCUCGAUUAAUUCUUUUGACCAUGUCGAACCUAUCGCGAAGAUGGCCGCACGGUUUACGUAUCGAAAUAAACAGAGCUCGAUCACCCAUUUUGACCAUGUCGAGCCUAUCGUGAAGAUAGCCGCACGGUUUACAUAGUAAAAUAUCCGGUUCGAUCAAUCAUUUUGACCAUGUCGAGCCUAUCACGAAGAUGGCCGCACGGUUUAGAGAUUAGCGAUGCGUACGAUAGAAGCGACGAUUUAAUGUCAAAUUUGAUCGGUUCAAAACCUAUCACGAAGAUGGUCGGGUUGAUCAAAUUGACAAAAAAAAACUCACGGUUUAGAGAUUAGCGAUGCAUAUACGCGACGGAAGCGACGAUUUAAUGUCAAAUUUGAUCGGUUCAAAACCUAUCACGAAAAUGGUCGGGUUGAUCAAAUUGACAAAAAAACGGACUUACGCUAUGCGUAUGCAUGCAUAUCUCCUACUGUUAUAGAAGUCGUUGUGAUUGUCGUUGUCGAAGUCGUAGCCGAAUUCAAGAGCCAGAGUCCUUUUUUAAUUCUUCUUUUUUUUUGUUGCUUUGUACGGAAGAGGAGGGGUGCACAUGGCACCCCCACUGCCAGCCGAGAGAGAGAGAGUGAGAGAGGAGAGAGAGAGAGGAGAGUAUAAAAACUCUUUUUUUUUUGUUUCUCACCUUUUUUUUCUUUCUUCUUCUUCUUUUUUUCUUUUUUUUUUUUUGCUUUGGUUCUCUUUCGGAUCUCUCCCUUUCUUCCUUCCUCUAAAAAAAUUCUCUCUCUAGACUCCUCUUUCGAAAUUUGGAUCUUAUUUUAUAUAGGAUUCAAAGAUGAUUCCCAUUUGGGAAUAAUUUAAAAAAUCAAUUUAUGAGGAAACAAACCUCAAUCAACUAAUUAUACCUCUUUUGUUUUAUUUUUUGAUAAUUUCCUCUUUUUUUUUCUUUUGAAUCUUUUCUUUCCCUAUUUCCUUCCUUCUAUAUUUUCAAUUUGAAUUUGAACUUUUUUUUUGUCUCAANCUAGGCGUAGCAACUGUUGAAACUUCACAUUGUGACUUAGACUAGAUCUUCAGGAUGCUAGUUAUGACACCAUGUUAGAGACAUGAGGAUUGGAUAGUUGAGACUUGGACCAUGCUUGCUUGCCAUUUGUGCUCAUUCGCACAUGCUUGUGAGGGUCGCUCCCUACAAGCCGGCACUCCGGAGUUAGCCUAUGCGACCUAUGUUCGCUCGUGCGGUAUUGAGAAGCCUACGAGGUCGAGUGGGACAGACACAUUCCAAGAGUAGGAAUGUCGGGCUACCACAGGCACUUAGGCGGCACAAGCUGGACUACCUUUGGUAGGUCCUUGAUUGGAAAUGGAAAUCGAUACGGGGUCGAGAUUGGUUAAUCACUACUAGAUAGGUUUAGUAGUUGGAUUACAUUUAUAUGUUUUUUUGCAUAGUGUUGAGACAUGUAGUAUAUUUGAUAGUCUCUUGUUGCAUUAGAGCAUACUUGGUUGCCAUGAUAGAGCUUAUGCAUCAUGCAUUGAUAAGGGUUAUUGACAUUAGACUAGUGCCAUUGGACGUAAUUGUAAGGAUAGAAUAGAUGUACAUUUUGGUUUGCAUCACGCUUUCUUUCAGCAGUUUAUUUACAUGCUCCUUAUUGCUUAUUAUUAUUAUCGUUGCUUACCUUUGUUUUUGGGGCCUAGUGGAGCAGGAGCUGAGGUCAGUAAUUGCCCACUGGGAACUAUAGCUUAUAGUUCUCACGCCCUCUUUUUCUCGAUGUUUUCAGAGCCUUCCACUCAGGGCGAAGCUAGGGACCGCGGGAAGGGAGUUGCUUCGAGCUAGCUUCCUUUGAGGACGAUUCGCUAGGUGGUCUACCUCUCGUUGUGUUUUACUUUGGAGAGGUUGAGAGUUCUACCAGUGUAUUAGAGACCACCGUUUUUGUACUUUUGAGACAGAUAUUGUACUACUUAUGAUUUCUUUAUUGUCUAGCUUUGCUUGCUCUGAUAUCUCUAGUUGCUAGUUAUUUUAUUUCUUAUAUUUGUUCUAUCUCUUGCUUUUACUUCCGCUUUUAUCGUAGACGCCUUAUAUGUGUAGACAUAUGGCGGGUCUGGGCACGCUACUGGGAGGGCCUCCGCCGGUCCCGGGGCGUGACAUAUCUCUUCCACUAACGCGUCUUACUCAGAAAGGGGUUAAGUUUGCAUGGAGCGAGGAUUGCGCUCGGGGCUUUGAAGAAUUAAAGAAAAGGUUAACUACAACUCCAGUUCUUGCCUUACCUACUCCCGGUGAGAGUUUUGUGGUGUAUAGCGAUGCUUCGCGAUUGGGUCUUGGGUGUGUGUUGAUGCAACGCGGGCAAGUCAUUGCAUAUGCUUCCCGACAGUUGAAGACCUAUGAGAAGAAUUAUCCCACCCAUGAUCUUGAGUUAGCUGCCGUGGUCUUCGCACUUAAGCUAUGGAGACAUUACUUGUAUGGCGAGCGUUGCGAAGUCUACACCGACCACAAGAGCCUCAAGUAUCUGUUUACACAGAAAGAGUUGAACCUUAGGCAGCGACGAUGGUUAGAAUUGUUGAAAGACUACGAUGUCACAAUUCUUUACCAUCCGGGAAAGGCUAAUGUGGUUGCCGAUGCAUUGAGUCGGAAGUCGGCGGAAAAUCUUGCGAUGAUGAUUACUAACCAACCGCCAUUGCUUGAAGAAUUACGACGUUUUGACUUGGAGGUAGUAGCUCCGGACGUCCCAAUUGUUCUUGCAAGCUUAAUCGUGCAACCGACCUUGUUGGAGCGGAUUAAGACUCAACAAUUACAAGAUUCUUAUCUCCAAAAGGUACGAGUUGACGUUGAGGGUGGACGUGCUAGUGAUUUUAGUGUUGGCUCCGAUGGCACCAUUCGGUUUCGCGGUCGGUUGUGUGUUCCUAGUGAUGAGGGAAUGCGGAGCGAGAUCAUGCAAGAAGCACAUCAAUCCCCUUAUAGCAUACAUCCGGGUGGCACUAAGAUGUAUAAGGAUUUGAGAACCCAUUAUUGGUGGCCCGGGAUGAAGAAGGAUAUCGGUCGCUUUGUGGCGCAAUGUUUGGUGUGCCAACAAGUUAAGGCCGAACAUCGACUCCCUGCGGGAAAACUUCAAAGUUUACCAAUCCCCGUGUGGAAAUGGGAGGAUGUGACUAUGGACUUGGUAGUGGGGUUACCUCGUUCUCAAGGCGGUCAUGAUGCAAUAUGGGUGGUGGUGGAUCGCCUCACGAAAUCUGCGCAUUUCAUGCCAAUCCACACCACAUGGUCGGGUGAUAAACUUGCUCAAGUUUAUUUGGAUGAGGUCGUCCGACUACACGGAGUUCUGGUAUCGAUUGUGUCGGAUCGGGACCCUCGAUUUACUUCACAGUUUUGGAGGAACUUGCAGAGUGCUCUGGGCACACGGCUCGAGUUCAGUACUGCUUUUCAUCCUCAAAGUGAUGGCCAGUCAGAGAGGACGAUACAAAUCCUUGAGGAUAUGUUGCGAGCGUGUGUCCUUGACUUCAAGGGAGGUUGGCAUAGUUAUUUGCCUAUGGCGGAGUUCGCCUACAAUAACAGUUAUCAAGCGAGUAUUGGAAUGGCUCCAUUCGAAGCCUUAUAUGGACGGAAGUGCCGCUCCCCGAUACAUUGGGGUGAAGUUGGAGAGCGACUUGAAUUGGGUCCGGACGUGUUACGCGAGGCCGAGGAGAAAGUUCGCAUUGCUCGGCAGAGAAUGUUAACGGCACAGUCUCGGCAAAAGAGUUAUGCCGACAAACGUCGACGAAGCCUCGAGUUUGCAAUUGGAGACAAGGUAUUUUUAAAGGUCUCCCCGAUGCGAGGCGUUAAGCGGUUUGGAAUGCGAGGGAAGUUAAGUCCUCGCUACGUCGGGCCGUAUGAGAUUUUGGAUCGGGUUGGCCCUGUGGCUUAUCGGUUGGCGUUGCCACCUCGGCUUGCGGGAGUGCACAAUGUGUUCCAUGUGUCGACACUCCGCAAGUAUGUUUCCAACUCUACGCAUGUGCUCCAAUAUGAACCACCCGAGCUCCGGGAGGAUAUGUCGUACGAGGAAUUUCCGGUAUGCAUCCUAGCUCGUGAGGAGAGGGAACUACGGAAUCGUGCGAUCCCAUAUGUCAAAGUUCAAUGGAGUAAUCAUGGCGAACGAGAAGCUACAUGGGAGCUCGAAAGCAAGAUGCGUGAUGAGUACCCUUACCUCUUCCCCGAGUCUAGUUGAGGUAUGACUCUAAGUUUCGAGGACGAAACUUCUCUUAAGGAGGGGAGGAUGUAGUGUACCGAAUUUUUUUAAUAUAGAAAUAAGAGUAAAUAAAAGUAUAUAAAAUUGUGCAAAUGAGAGGGGCUAAGGUGUAAUUGUGCAAAUGAGAGGGGCUAAGGUGGAAUGGUGCAAGUAAAAGAGUUUUACUUGGAGGGCAAGUUUCCUAUGUAUAAGAGAUUACUUGGAGGGCAAGUCUCCCUAUGUUAUGAGAGGGACUAAAGUGUAAUUGUGCAAAUCAAGGGUUUACUUGGAGGGCAAGUUUCCUAUGAGUGUGAGUGAACCCUUGCCCCCUUUUUCCCAAACCGUAGGAAAGAGAGAGUGGGCUUUCUCUCUCUUUCUCUCUUUGUCCUUGUGGUCUCUCUUUCUCUCUCUCUUUCUCUUUAUUAAAAAGAGGAUUUGCUAAAGAGAGGAUUUGCUAAGAGAGGAUUAGAGAAUACUAAUUGGAGUUGCUUGGUGGUGAAGCAAGCUUAGUGGAGAAGAAGGCUUGGAAUUGAGCUACUUCCUUCAUCUUCUUCAUCACUUGGAUUAGAGAAGAAAGCUUGUUUAAGGUAAGCUUCAUGGGCUCUAAUGGCAUAUAGCUAGAGAUGGGUUUAAAUCUCUUAGAAUCUAGCUAGAUGGAAAUCCUAGUUAAUGUUAGGUUGCUAUUUGCUUGAAUCAUGAAUUUAUAUAGUAUAUUAUUGCAAUAGUGACCUCUAGGAUUUUGAAAGAGAGCUCUUGAUCAUGAGAGGUUUUAAUCUCAAUUGAUCAUAUGUUUCCGCAAUUGAAGGUAAAACCGAUGCGGAGGAUCAUUCGGAUUGAGAUUCCGUUGAGCCGGUGGUGGUCAAAGUGAAGAAAAUUCUAUUUUGCUUCAUUUGUCGCAGUUGGAAGAAAACAACGGCCAUAAAUCGCGCUACUAGGCUACUCGCUUCGUGUCGACAUCACGAGGUGGGGGGUGCUAUCCGAAAUAGCCGAGUUUCAUUCUAUGUCUAAGUUCUACUUUUAUUGAUCAUAUAUCAUCAUGCAUAGAAUAGUGAGAAUCCUAUGAGUUGUGGUAAUUUCAUGCUUAGUGUGAGGGAUAAUGAUCCAUGAUUGCAUGAUACUUGUAGGAAUAUCUAUUUGCAUGAUGUUGAGAUAGAUGUGGACAUGUAUGUUGCAUGAGAACUUUUAUAUGAUGCCAAUAUAAAUAUUGUACAUGUUGUAUGAAUUGCUAGUGGACAUAUGCAUGUGAAUAUGAUGUAAGAAUAGACUAGAUUCAUGAGGAACUAGUAUGUAAACCAAUGACAUUGUGAGAAUUGGAAACUAAUGCAUAUGUGGCCGACCUGAGCAAAGCAUGCCUUGUGAGGAUAGGGAUAUGGUACUCCCGUGGCCCUCGAAUGAGAGGACUUGAUCAUACUCGCAUUGUCUGUUAUAGCUUGUGGAUGGUCGCUCCUCCCAAGCAGUGAGCUCCGGAGUUGAAUCACAUUGAGAUUGGAACGGGGGAGAGAGUCACUACGGUGCGCCCUCGGCAGACGGUCACGGUCGCGUGACAGUAUGUGUAGCGAGUGAUUCGACCUUCGGGCGAAUCGUUUGGAUUUGACACAGGCAUGAUCAUGACAUUUCGUAUAUAGUUGCAUACAUGAGAGAACUUAAACAUGUACUUGUUGACAUAAUUUGUAAAGGCAUAGCUACACAUUCGAGCAUGAUAUAGAUGUGGAUGAGCAAGGUAGGCUUAUUGUUAUAUCUAUUAUUCCUUUGACAUGUUGACCUCUUUAUUGUUUCUAUGCCUUUCUUGGACCUAGUGGGAAAAUCGGCGGGGUCGGCGGCCGAACCCACUGGGAACUAUGGAUAAUAGUUCUCACACCCUGUUUUGCAGAGCCUAGUUCGAGCGCGUGUGUCGAGGAUCGCGGCAAGGGCGUCGCGCAGUAGAUAGAGUGGAUCACCGGCGUUAGCUCCCUACCCUCGAGAAUAAAAAAGAAAAGAAUGAUAUGUAAAACCCUUUUGUGAAGAAAUGUAAUGUAUUUGAGGGAUGGCAUUUUGGUUGUAUGUAUGAGAAGUCAAGUGAAAUAUGUAAUGGUUCUUGUGUGUGAACAAGUAAUGAAAUAGAUAGUUUAAAUUCUCUCGUUUCUGUGAUUGCCUCUCUCAAUGUUGAAUGCUAACAUCUCUUGUUGGAUAUGUAUGCAUAGACUUUGUUACGCUUCGGGCGAGCAGGGGAAACUCUGUCCGUUCGGCGGGUCUGUUUGGGCCCGAACUGUCCAAAUUGGCGGUGUCGGGUCGUGACAAAACAUGUCCAAGUUUCUAUACAAAAAUAAACAUCUAUUGGGGUUCCUCCUCUAGUGCAAGCAACUAUGGUAGGAGACAUUAUCUAGUUUGCGAUCACCUUACCUUAAUCAGACACUGACACUAAGAACUCUGAAAGAAACACAAUAAAAAGAGGGUGUGAGAAACUGCUGAACAAAAAUCUCCAGUGGGUACAAUUGACGACAACGGCAACCUACACUACUAGGUCAAUUAAACGUAAUAAUAGUAAUAAACUGAGUGAAUAUGAGCAUAUACUAAACUAGAAAGAAAGAAUGCUAUCAUGCCUCUAUACUAACUAAUGAAAAUAGUGAUCAAAUAUGAAGCAUCAACUAUGAUACUAGAUAAAGUGAUGCUGUAUAAUUAAUCAAAUCGUACCGACCAACUCAUAAGUCUGAUCAAGCCUGCGCACGCCUCAUGCCCAGUCCCCACUCCCACAUGUGGUCUGUCUACAUGCAGGCUAUCUAGUUUAUCUAUAUUUGCCAGCCUCCAGAGGGGCACUCGUGGGUUGCGAUCCCGCCAAGUAUCAUAUCAUGUAUCUCUGUUAAGCUCAAUAUGGCUUUCAUAACUAGGCUAUAGUCUGAUGAUAUAAAAGAUCAUAAGUAAUACUGUUUAGGCACCCUCUGGCACAAUCGCAUACUGUCCCACUGUCCAGCACUGUAAAACUAUCUUGUGACACUUUUUUUUUUAUAAAUUUUUGCAUACAAUGACAGGUCAUCAUUAUAUAUAAAAUAUAAUCUCAAAUAGUAGGAAUAUCAAACAUUUGCAAAAUACUCCACAUGCUGAUAAGGUAUUCGAAUAGCAGAAUCAUGCCAACAUAAGUGUCCUCAACUAUACAAAGCCAUUGAACAAGUCACCAAAUCAAGCAUACAAAAACGAAAUCAGAGUUAGUCCACUAUUUUCGGUGACAUGGAAUCCAAAUAGACAAGCUACUUCAAGGAAGGCAAGAUAACGACACACUCCAGCACCUCCCUCCUCAAAAGCGCCAAAAUCCAAUAAGAAACCCCCAAAACUCAGCUCCUAAAAAUCAACAAUUAAGUCCUUUGCUAAAUCAACAUUGAUAAAAAUCCCAAUAAAAAUCCCAAUCUCCAAAUACAAUCGUUACUCGCCACUAAUAAUAGAUAAAGAGAUGGACACCUCAAGCUGUCCUCCUCCUUACUCUACAGGAUCAUCCUUAAGCUACACAAAAUUCCAAAUCCUCAACAGACCAACAAUAAGGAAGAAGGUUACUCAACCUUUGGGUUCUCUUAGCCAGAGCCUUAAGCUACGCUAAGGAGAAAAGGAAGAAGAAGAGAAACAAAAAGGCUCAAUUGGUGAGAAAUGAGAAAAGCUAUGCGCCAUCGUGCUAUUUAUAGAUUGGACAUAAAAGCAAAAAAGCUCUCCAAAUAUUAAAAAAAAUCCACGUCAUGCUAAAACCAAGUUUCACGCGUUCGGAACCAUCUUUCGAGCAUCAGAUUCCUCAAGCUCCAUAGCUUUCGGGCACUCCCAACAUGCAAUGGAUCACCUGAACCAUCGUAGUGCUCACCAUUUCUAUCAAAUCAACCCCAUCUAAUUGUUGUGCUGCUACAGUAACAAAUGAGCACUUACAAACCAGCUACUCAACACAUCCUAAUCCAUCUACGAUAGAAUUGGGCAGCCAGAACUUCACCCAAAGCUUUCGGGUGCUCGAUCCAACAUUUCGAACACCCUUUGCACUUAGCUCACCAUUUUCGAGCACCCUAGACUCUGUCCGAGUAUCCGAAAAAGUUUGAAACUUCAGUUUUAGUUGAGUUCAGUAUCCCAAGCCCGUUUUCACGCCAAAACUGCUCCAACUCAAUCUAACACCUUACAUAAGUGCCAACUAGAAAGCCAUACUAUAAUCUUUUGUAGCACACUGAAUUUCAGCAAGUUGCAGGGUUCUAUUGAGAGAAAGUGUUUUGUACUAUUCUGGAGGUUUUGAAUGAUAUUGGAGAGCUUAGGGACGUUUUUAGGACUUAAUUAGCGCGAAAACGAAUCUUGGAGAUUAAAAUCUGCAAAAACAGCAGUUUGGCAUUGUGAACUGGUACUGCAUGUGUGUAGCGGAGCUCAGUUGAAGACUAGGUUGGAUCGCUCUCGAGUUUUGCGAAAAUGGGCUGGGUACUGGUAUUGAUUCUGCAUGUAUUGGUAAUGAUUCGGGCUGUGCCGGAACACAGUAGAGGGUUGUGGAAUCCAAAGUUUGAGUUUUGCGGAGCUGGAUUCGAGUACCGGAGCACUUCGGUCGUGUACCGGUACUCCAUUUCAUGUACCGACACUCAAUGGUGUAGAAAUUAUUUCACUUAGGUUGUAAUUUUCAAGUUUUGGGGGGCCUUUGGGAAUAUUAUUACAACAGGUAAAAUACCUCCUUCACCCAUCUCAUUUGCCUAUUGCAGCUAUAGCAAGAGCAAGGAGAGAGAUAUGAGUUUCUCCCCUAUUUUCCUUGGGUUUCUUCCUCCAAUCCCCCUAAUCCUUGGAUUUCUCUUUCUUUUCCUUUUCACCAUAGAUGCUUGCACCUAGAGCUUGGAGUGGAGUUUGGACUUGAAGGAAUUGUUUGGAGCCCUAAGCUUCAACCCUAGCAUUUCUAAAGUGGGAUUGGAGCUUCGAUUAAGGUUGGUAACCUUCUUUAAUCCUUUACUUGAUAGUUUUGUAGGAGUUUUGGUAGAAAAUCUAGUUUUGUAGAAAUUAGACUUUACUUUAGAAAUUUUCAAUUGUGAGGUUUUAUGUUGAAAUUGAUGAGUGUAGAACACUCUUAUAGGUUGGAAUUUAAGCCCCAUUUCUUUGAUUUGAAGCUUGGACGAGUUUGCCUUGGUCUAAGGUAUUUUACACUCAUUUUGUGAGAGGGUUUUUAAAUGUCCUAACCCCUUGAAAAUUUUUCUUAGUACAUAUUAUAAGUAGAGGACAACUUGUUUCGAGAAACAAUCGGAUUUCGGUGGCUAUCUAGUGAGUUUGACCUCACCGAAAUUGGUGAACUCUCCCUAUAUCUCCUAUUAUGUUUACAGCGCUUAAUAGAUGUUCUAACAUGAAAUUUAUGACAUCAUUAAAUUUUUGAGCAUGUGAUUGACCACUUUGUCACGUCCUGGGGCCGAUUAUAAAAGCCUUUUUAUAAUUAAUACUAUUUUUUGAAAAGUUUUCAGAGUUGCGGAAAACAUGCCAUUUUUUUUUGAAUUCAACCUGACCCACAUGGCGUACCGCCACAAAUACAAAGUUCCUCUGCCCACAUUGACAGAGUCUCCUUUGCAUUUGCACGGCGUACCCAAAGAUAACGACAACAGGAUCACAUCUCACAAUCUACAUUUACCAAUCCACAAGCAAUUCAUGUGAUGCAAUUCCAUACAGCUAGUGAUCCUUAAAGAUGAUGUAUGCUUCUAAACACUCCUUAGGCGCUGGAUAAUGCGAUGUACAAUACAACAGUCAUCCUAUUUAAAAAUGCUCUCUACCCGGAAGCUUUGUUUUUAAACUCUAUUUGUUCAUCCAUGAAAAUAAUUCAAAAACCUUUUAAAACUAUUUUUCACUCGAAAACUCUAUUUUUGAAAGCCGAUUACCUCGAGGGGUAGAAAACCACAACGUAUAAAUCCAGAUACCAAAGAUCCAUAAAACUCCGAUUGCAUGCAUAAUAGAAAACAUCAACUCAUACAAGUUCACGAUUAGUCAAGCAGUAACUAUGAUCAUCUAACUGAACCAUUUAUUAUUUAAAUUACUAACUAUAGAAAAGAAAAUAACCAGGGUAAUGACUGCUAAUAUGGCCUAGCUAGAACGUCUUUCCGUCGCACCAAGAACCAACUCCUUGCCCUUGCCACUUGGGGAAAUGGGGGUGAGAAACCACAAUCAAGGUUUUCCAGUGGGUACGACAGAGCCACGAAGGCAAAUCAUAUUUACUAGAAAACAAAGGAAAUAGAUCAACAUGUAUACAAGAUAUAUAAGUGAACAACAGUAUUAAUUACAAAAUAGUAAAUGAGUAAGGGAUAAGGCUACUACUGUAUCAUAAUCUCAACUGAAUAGAUGCCUCAAAGGUAAAUGAUCCAAUCAAAUCCAAUCUGGUGCCUGCCAUAUGACCGCAGACCUUAAGCUUGCAUGUCACAGGGCAUACACUUACUUGAUUCACGUGUCCACUGACGACCUAUUCGGAUACGUACAGCACCUGGUCGGUGGCCAAACCAACCGGUGUCUAGAAUACACAGUGCCGUGACUAAAUCAUACUGAUAUGCUCAAUGUGAAAAUCAGUAGAAAAUCGAUGCCCUGCCCUAAGCUAGAUACAAAGGCGUAUAACGCCGAACCAUGAUCAACUAGAUUGAAACUGUAAUGUACCGAGUCCUCGAUGCGUAAACCGAACUUUAGUCCAAAUUGACCAAAGUAUGGUACUGGACGCUUCGGAAAGGUCCGUUGAGUGUUCUGAGCGAUCGAAAUGGCUUAUAAGGGUAUGAAGGACCUUGGAGAGCAAGAUGGAGAAAUUACAAAAAAUUUCGUGCUGGAAAUGCUCUCGGGACUCGAACAUGAAAAAUCUCAGCGUUAAGUGAGGGCUUGCUUUGGUGAGGGGCCUUGGUGCAAUUAUGCAGGGCAAGUGUUUAUAUGAAGGUUCCAAGCUUAUUCCUUCAUUUCCCUCACGCUUGCAACAUAAGAGAAAAGCUUCUCUUUCUCUCUCUAAAUCUCUCUCUCUCUCUCUUAGGGUUUGCUCCAAGAGAUGGAGUUGGUGGAGGAGAGCUUGCUUGGUGGUGAAGCUAUCAUCUUCUUCACCCUAGGCUUGAGAAGAAGCUUGAGUUGAGAUAAGCCUCAUGGAUUUUGAGGGUUUUGGAGUUUAGGUUUUGUAUAAUCCCUUAGAUGUGAGUUCUAAUGGAGCCCUAGAUGAAUCUAAACCAUGUUAUAGCAUAAACUACCAUGAGAUUUGGAAUUUUAUGCCAUAUGAGGAUUUUUAGGGUUUUGAAGAGGGCUUUGAUCAUGAUUGGAUUUGAUCUAAAUUCAGCCUAUGUAAACCUAAUUGAAGGUGAAACCGACACGGUGGGCAACUCGAAUCGGAGUUCCUACGGGCAUGCAGCGAGUUAUUGAAGAAAAGUACGAUUUUUGGUUCAUUUGCAUUGGGUCGAGCCGAAACGACGUCCAUAAAUCGCGAGGCUUGGAUUCUCGCACCUCGGCAUCGUAGAGAGGUGGGGUGGUGCUAUCCGAAACAAUCGGAUUUCCUUUUAUGUCUAUGUCAUCAUAUUGGCCAUGUAUACACAGGUGUAGGAUUCAUGCAUUGUAGAAUAGUUUGUAUUGGUUAUUCCAUUCGUUGCAUGCUCUCAUGGUAAAUAUAGAAAAUAUGAGAUGGAACAUAGUGGGUUAUGUGCAUGAGGAUUGGAUUGAGAAUAAGAACUCUAUAAUGCUAUGACAUUGUGAACUUACAAACAUAGUGACAUAAACAGGUGGCAUUUGGAUAGUAAACUGAGAACACUCAUGACAUGAGAAUAGGGAUUGAUAUCUCCCUUGGCAUUUGUUACCACUAAUUGGUAGGGUAUCGUCGGGAUAAAGGAUUGGAUCAUACUCACAUUUUGUCUGUUCGCUUGGCGUUGGUCGCUCCACCCAAGCAGUGGUUUCCGGAGUACUUCACGGUAAGGGUUAACGUAGCUACCCUGCAGACGGUCCCCAAUGGGUGUAGCUGGGCUCCCCAUUUGCUCGAUUCGUGUCACGCCCCGGGACCCUGCAUAGGUCCGCCCGGUGUGUGCCCAGACCCGCCAUAUGCCUGCACAUAUAAGGCGUCUACAAGAAUAGAGAAAUGAAAGCAAGAAGGAGUAAGACAACUAGAGAUAUCAGAGCAACCAGCAGCUAAAAUACUAGUAACAAGUAGAGAGAAAAGAAAACUAAUCCACUAAUAGUAAAACAUAAGGAAAAUACAUCAUCUGUCUCAAAAUACAAAAUGGGUGGUCUCUAUACAUGGUACAACUCUCAACCUCUCCAAAAUAAAACCAAUGAGAGGUAGACCACCUAUCGAUACGUCCCUCGCAAAAGAGCUAGCUCGAGGCGAUGCCCUUUCCGCGAUCCCUAGCCUCGCCCGGUGUGGAAGGCUCUGAAAGGAAACAAGAAACAGGGGGCGUGAGAACUAUAAUUUAUAGUUCCCAGUGGGCAAUUACUGACCUCGGCACAAUGCACCACUAGGCCGAAAAGAGUAAGAUAGGUACGAAAAGCAAUAGAAAUAAACUACAGAUAUUAAAGCAUGUAUAAGCGCUAACUACUAUGCCAUAAGCGUUAAGAUGACAAUAUGUGGCUCAUUCAUUCUAUCAUGCUCAAGUAUGUCCAAUACAUAACUAGUAUGAUCCCAUAUGGCAAGCAAGUAUACUAAAAUGCAAUGAGCGUUAUUAUCAAGUAUACUAUAAGUCCAAAAGCCCAAACCUAUGCUAUAAGCAUGUCCAAGAAACCCGACCACUAUAAUCUAUUUAGUAAUGAUUUUACUUAUGCGACUCCGUGUCGAUUUCCAUUUCCAACGAAGGACCUACCCAAGGUAGUCCGGCUUGUGCCCCCUAAGUACCUGUGGUAGCCCAACAUUCCCACUCGAGGAAUGAGUCUGUCCCACCCGGCCCCAUAGGCUUCUCAAUACCGCACGAGCGAACAUAAGUCGCAUAGGCUAACUCCGGAGUGCCGGCUUGUAGGGAGCGACCCUCACAAGUAUGUGCGAAUGAGCACAAAUAGCAAGCAAGCGUAGUCAUCGUCUCAAAUACCUAAUCAUCAUGUCUCUAACAUGGUAAUAGUCACUAGCAACCCAUCGGUCUAGUCCAAUGUCCAACGUGAAGGUUUAACCAUUCAUUAUGUCCAAUGCCCUUUUAUGGCAUUACAUCUCACUAUGCCGAAAUCUUGUUCCAACACUAAUGCCACUUUAUGACAUUAGGUUUACUAAGUCCACACAUAUUUCAAGCCUAAUGCUCCUUUAUGACAUUAGUUUACUAUACCAAUUCGAAGCCCAAUGUCUCUUUAUGACAUUGGCUUGCUAAUUCACAAAUCACUCUAGUCUAAUGUCCCCUUAUGAUAUUAUCUACUAGGUUCACAUAUGGCCCAAGCUCAAUGUCGCUUUAUGACAUUAGCUCACUAAUUCACAUGAAAUUUAAGUUCCAAGCCACUUCAUGGCCUAAUGUAUUCUCAUAUGUCCAAGGUAUACGAUCAUGGUCAUUUCACUAUAUGAAACAUGAUUUUAAGUCCCGAAUACGAAUGCUAAACUCAUGCAUAAAUCUCACAUGCAAGCUCUCUACUACAUAGAGAUCCAAAAAUACAUUGUAUACAACAUAAGCAUUUUAAGCAUUCUAAAAUUCAUAAAUAAUGCAUCUAACAUAAACAUGCAUGAUUUUUCAUUUUACGAUACUUAAAUCCACAAAAAUGAGAUUUUUUCAUUCUUAGGUGAGAUCAAACCCACCGAGUGUCACGCCCCGGGACCCAGCGGAAGCCCGCCCGGCAUAUGCCCAGACCCGCCAUAUGUCUAAAACAUACAAGGUGUCUAAAACAAAGUGAUAAAUAAAGCAGUAAAAAGAGAACAUCUAGGAGUAUCAAAGCAAGUAUAUCUAGAGGCUACAAUAGAGGAAAAGAACCAUAAAACUAAAAUCCACUAGAUGAAAACAUAAAGUAGUACAAUAGGAAUCCCAAGUACGAAAACUAAGCAAAAUACAUAGGUGGUCUCUAUACAUGAAACAAAAUCUCUCUCUUGCAAUACGACAAAUGAAAGAGAAAGCCACCUAAAAGCAAGCGUCCUCUCCGCUAGCUAUCUACGCGACACCCUUGCCGCGAUCCCUUACCUCCGCCGGUGCCGAAGGCUCUGAAAAGAAACCAUAGAAGUAGGGCAUGAGAACUAUUAAAAAUAGUUUCCAGUGGGCAAUUACUGACUUCAGUGCAAUGCACCACUAGGCCCAAAAGCUACAAAAGAUGGGUCAAUAGAUAGUAAACGAAAACGAUAAGUAAAUAAAUAUACAAGCUUGCUACCACAUUUUUUUACGAUUGGUAUAGCAUCCAACACAUGAGCCGGAUCAUGGAUGUACUUCCGAAGGACCAAUACAUGAAAAAUAUUGUGUACACCCGAUAGGUUCGGUGGUAGAGCAAGUCGAUACGCUACCGGGCCCACACGCUCCAAAAUCUCAUACGGUCCAAUGAAUCAGGGGCUGAACUUACCCCGGAUACCAAAUAUUCCAAUUCUCUUGGUCGGCGAGACUUUCAAAAAGACAUGAUCUCCAAUCUAAAACUCCAAAUCUCGUCGACGCUUGUCAGCAUAACUCUUUUGUCUACUCUGGGCUGUCAACAGUCGCUCCCGAGCAAUACGAAUCUUGUCCUCUACUUCCUGGAGCACAUCGGGGCCUAAAGCCAAUCUCUCGCCAAUUUCGCUCUAAUGAAGUGGCGAUCUACACUUUCGUCCAUAAAGUGCCUCGAAGUGUGCCAUCUUGAUGCUUGCUUGAUAACUAUUGUUAUAAGCAAACUCUGCCAUCGGUAGAUGCUGCGACCAUCCUCCCUGGAAAUCGAUCACAAAGACUCGAAGCAUAUCCUCAAGAGUCUGUAUAGUGCGCUCGGACUGCCCGUCACUCUGAGGGUGAAAAGCUGUAUUGAAAUCCAAGCGUGUGCCCAAGACAUUUUGUAAGCUCCUCCAAAAAUGAGACACAAAACGGGGGUCUCGAUCCGAAACUAUAGAAGUAGGUACCCCGUGCAAUCGCACAAUCUCAUCAAGAUAUACCUGUGCGAGUCUCUCACCAGUCCAAGUAGUGUGAAUAUGUAUGAAAUGAGCCGAUUUCGUCAACCUAUCCACGAUCACCCAAAUAGCAUAAUGCCUGGCCUGUGAGCGAGGCAAUCCCAUCACGAAGUCCAUGUUGAUCUUCUCCCACUUCCACACUGGAAUCGGUAAGUUCUGCAAUUUUUUCGGGGGGACUCGAUGCUCAGCUUUCACCUGUUGGCAAGUUAGACAUCUAGCAACAAACUCACCAACGUCCUUUUCAUCCCGGGCCACCAAUAUAGCAACUUUAAGUCCUUGUACAUCUUGGUGCCUCCCGGAUGGAUCGCAUAGGGUGCACGGUGUGCUUCUUGAAGAAUGUCCUCUUUAAUACCCAAAUCCGCCGGUACACACAACCGCCUGCGGAAACGCAUCAAUCCAACACCGUCCACAGAGAAGUCACCAGUGCAACCAUCAACCAUCUUAGCUCUAAGCCUUUGCAACUCCACAUCGUGAGCUUACUUUUCCUUAAUUCUAUUCAAAAGGGUGGGUUGCACCACCAAAGCUAUCAACCUCAAAGGUGUAUCAGGAGCCACCACCUUCAACUCCAACCGCUUCAUCUGCUAGAUCAAGUGCGGUUGAGUAACCAUAAGCAUCGCUAAGUUUUCCAUCGAUUUCCGACUUAGCGCAUCCGCCACCACGUUAGCCUUGCUCGGGUGGUAAAGGAUCGUCAAAUCAUAAUGCUUGAGGAGCUCCAACCAUCUGCGCUGCCUCAAGUUCAACUCUUUCUGAGUGAAUAAAUACUUUAAACUCUUGUGAUCCGUAUACACCUCACACCGCUCACCAUACAGAUAAUGGCGCCAUAGCUUCAAUACAAAGACUACGUGUAAUAUACCAAAACUUCGAAAAAUAAAUAUCGAACUUUAGUCAAAUUGACCAAAGUGCGAGGAUGGUACACUUCGGAAAGCCCGAAGGUGUUAAAAUGAUCAAAAGUGAGUUACGGGAGGUUUUCGAGAGCUAAAGAAUCAAAUUCUGCAAAACUGCAGAUUUUGAGCUCUCGGGGACCGGUCCCUGGUGGGAGAGACCGGUCCCCGAACGCGUAUGAAAUGAGACAGCCGAAAAAUCGGCUAAGUCCCGGAAGAUUAGCUCUCGGGAACCGGUCUCUGCCUGAGAGACCGGUCCCCCAGAGACCGGUCCCAUCGUAGGGAGACCGGUCGCAUCGCGCGCAGCGACUCUGGCUGCGCAGGGUGGACGUUCGGGAACCGGUCCCUGCUCGGGGAGACCGGUCUCUGCCUGCGCGAUCAGCCCAGUUCGGGCAGCGUAUUAAAGUGAAAGUUGAGGGGUUUAGCUGCAAUUUUGCAACCCAAUAGGCUAAGUAUGAGGGCAAAUGAGAUAUUUCUCUCAUUUCCUCACCCUCUCACACUCUCUUCUCUCCCUCUCUCUCUCUAGAAGACAAAAGAGAAGAAGAAGAAAGGAAGAAGAAAAGGAAAAGAAGAGGAAGAAAGUGAAGAAGAAGAAGAAGAAGUGAAGAAACUCCUUCUCCUUCAUCUCUAGCUUGAAGAAAAGGAAAGCUUGAGGUAAGCUUUGAACCCUAAUGUAGUAAAACCCUAGAAAUGGGUUUGAAUGAACCUAGAAAUGAUUUUUAAUGGAAUGUCUAAUAGUUUUGAAGCUUUCUUUUGCUUCUUUAGAGAUCAAAACCUAGUUUUGCUAUAUAGGUGAGCUUGGACCACCUCUAAUGGUGAAAUCCAAACUAGGGAUUUGGAAAGGCUAAGAAUGGUUCUAAUGGACUAUUUAGAGUGUAAUGAAGCUACUUUUGCUUCUCUUUGAGAUCAAACCCUAGGUUAGAUACAUGUGUUGGAGCUAGGGCACCAAAUUGGGGCUUUUGCUCAUGAGGGUUUCUAAGUGCAAUUGACCCUCUAGAAACCUAAUUGGGGGUAUUUCCGACGCGUUGGUGCGUUCGGAUUAACGUUACGAAAAGCCGAUGAAAAGUUAUGGGCAAAAUGGCCUAAGUUGGCUUCGUUUUGCCGCAGGUAAAGAACGAAGGAUCUAAAAAUCCCGAGAAAAUCGUCGAAGCACCUAAAGAGACCUACAAGGUGGGUGGUGCUUUUCAAACUCAUUGAAAUUCUCUCUAUGCCUAAUGUGUCAUUCUUUGAGCAUAUGUUCUAUAUAUUGUUGCAUGCAUUUUAGGGUAAAGUAAUGAUGAAAUGUGAUGAUUGCAUGAUUGUGAGCACAACUUGCAUAAUGAGAUGGUUGAGAACCUAAUAAUAUCAAAACCCUAGAUGUAUGCAUGAGAGAAAAUGUGAGUACCCAAAGUGAGCAAAAGAACAAAGUGGCACAAUGACAUAGAUCGAGUGGCAUUUGAAAAUGUAAAGUAAAGAGACACUAGAGAUAGUGUGAGGUAAAGAACCAAUGUAAUGUAAAGAAUGCUGAAAAUGAUAAUGCUUAAAGUUAACGCAAUGUGGGAAGUAAAGAACGUGAAAUGCUAGAGGUAGCCAAAAGUAAAGAAUGUAAAGAAUAUAAUUGCUAGAGUUAGCAAAAGUAAAGAACAAUGUAAAGAAUGUGAUUGCAUGAGUUUGCAACAUAAAGUGAUGUAAAGAACACUAGAGCUAGUGUAAAGUCAAGAUUGAACUUAUAAAUCCUUUGAGUUAAGGAUAUGAUCAUGCUUGCUAUGAGUUCCGUGCUCGAGGGCGGUCGCUCCCCCUCGGGCGAUGCGCUCCGGAGUUAUGCAUCCGGGUUGGAGUAGACCCGUAAGGACGGUCCUAGCUGGUGAGUUCCUGCGAUGAUGGACUUAAUGUGAAGCAAGUCGAUGUGGCGAAGCCCCCGGGUUAGCCUUAAUGAUUAAAGAACAAAGAACAAAGAGUAAAGAAUAAAGAACAAAGCACAAAGUAAAGUCAAAGAAUGAAAGAAUUUGCAUAAUCUGCAUUUAUUUAAUGUUGAGCAUACUUCUUGCUUAUUGUUCAGGCAUAUUAGCAUCAUGUUAUAGAUUGGUUACUAUACAGCUUAUUCUUUCUACUAUGCCUGAGUUAGUCCUAGUGGGAAAGUCGGUGAUGUUGAGGCCGAACCCACUGGGAACUUUGUUGUAGUUCUCACCCCACUAUUUCCACAGAGCCGGGACCGAGCGAGCCGGCGAGCGACCGAGGUAAAGGUAUCGCGCCUUAGUCAGAGGCCACCACAGUUGUGUUCAUUUUGUAGUAAAGUACCCUAUGUUCAUCUUUUGUAUAUGAUGAUUAGUGAUGCAAAGAAAAGAAUGUAAUGUGCAUUUUGAGGUAAAUGUGAUGUAAGAAAGAAAUGAUGUAAUGAAUGUAAGAAUUCGAUAAAUUACUAGAAUGCAAUGUAUGUGAUCUAAAAUGAAUCAUAUUACUUGUGAAUGUUUCGUUUCCUUUUUCUUUCACUAAUGGCUAUUGCUUACCCUCGUGUAAGCCGUUUGUGUAUGUUUCCGCUAGUGCUUUUCUCUAUUGAUGAAAAUGUGCAUGUGAUGAGCCUUGGGCGGAUAGGGAAAACUCUGUCCGUUCGGCGUCUGUUUGACGUGCUCGGGUCGGGCCAAAUUGGCAUCGGUCCCGGGGCGUGACACUACGGCCGCCAACUCCAAGUCGUGAGUAGGGUAAUUCCUUUCAUACUCCUUAGCUGGCGAGAAGCAUACGCGAUCACUUUCCCGUCCUGCAUCAAAACACAGCCCAAUCCAUUAAGGGAAGUAUCACUAUAAAUCACAUAUCCUGCUCCCGCAAUUGGCAAGGUUAGGAUCGGGGCAGUCGUCAAUUUCUGCUUCAGCUCUUGAAAGCUUCUUUCACACGCAUCGUUCCAGAUGAACUUAACGCCUUUAUGCAUGAGCCUCAUGAGGGGAGUAGAUAACUUUGCAAAUCCCUUAACAAACCGUCGGUAGUAGCCGGCCAAACCAAUAAAACUCCGUAUCUCGGUAACACUCGUCGGCCUCGGCCAAUCCUUGAUAGCUUCAAUUUUUCUCAGAUCCACGGCUAUAUCCGAUCCAGAAAUCAAGUGGCCCAAAAACGCAACCUCUCUAAGCCAAAACUCACACUUUUUCAAUUUGGCAUAGAGUUUCCUUUCCCGAAGCACUUGAAGUACUAGCCUCAAAUGUUCCUCGUGAUCCGCAUCACUUCGGGAAUGGACCAAAAUGUCGUCGAUGAACACCGCGACGAACCUCUCUAGAUAAUGCUUGAAAACACUGUUCAUUAGAUCCAUAAAAGCUGCCGGAGCAUUAGUGAGCCCAAACGGCAUAAUUGUAAACUCAUAAUGUCCAUACCGUAUUCUGAAAGCCGUCUUCGAUACAUCCUCGGGUGCAAUUUUCAGCUAGUGAUAUCCCGACUUCAAGUCGAUCUUAGAAUAUACACUAGACCCCUGAAGCUGAUCAAAUAGAUCAUCGAUCCUCGGCAACAGAUACUUGUUCUUGAUCUUGACUUUAUUAAGUUCACGAUAGUCCACGCACAAGCAAAGUGAUCCAUCCUUCUUCUUGACAAAUAGGACCGGUGCUCCCCAAGGUGACACACUCGGUCGCACAAAACCCUUAUCUAGAAGAUCUUACAACUGUGCUUUCAGCUCUCUCAAUUUCGCUGGUGCCAUCCUAUAGGGCGCCUUUGAGAUUGGAGUAGUCCCGAAAACAAGAUCUACCACAAACUCAAUCUCUCUAUCAGGUGGCAGGCCUCGUAGCUCUGCUGGAAACACGUCUCCAAACUCCUACACUAUAGGGAUACCCUCGAUCCUAAGGGCGUCAGCAUCACCCCGCAGCAUCACCCCGCAACACGACAGUAGCCAAAUAGGUUACGCAGCCUCUGCUAAUCAACUGUCUAGCUCGAGAGGAGCUAAUCGUCAUCGCAAACAGUGAACUCUGGCAUCCACAGUAUGCAACCUCCUCCUGCCCCGGCUCUCUAAAGGUCACCGUUCGAUUCUUGUAAUCGAUAGUGGUGAAGUACUUGGUAAACCAAUCCAUACCCAAGACAACAUCAAACUCUCCGAGUUUAUGCAAAACUAGAAAAUCUACGGGCAUGAUCCAAUCUCCUACCUGAAUCCGGCAACUAGGGCAAAACUCUCUAAUGUCCAAGGAAUGGUCGGGGACAACAACACGUCCCGGAUGCAACAAAGAAACAAAGGGGAUGCCAUGCAACUCGGCAAACAACCGAUCUAUGAAUGAAUGUGAUGCACCAGGAUCAAAUAAUGCACGGACUCGAAUGCCAUUUAGUAAAAUGAUACCUGCAACCACAUUCUCGGCUGCUGCCGCCUUCUCAGUCUCGGCCACGUACAUGGGCCCACUUGGGGCCUGUCGUGACCCCUCCGUCUGCCACUGAACUGGUGGCCGCCUGGCCUGAUGAUGAGCAGAAUGUGUCCCCUGGUUGGGACCCGGUGAAGCUGGUACCGAUGCUGAUGAUGGCACUGGCACUGGACCCCUCGGGCAGUCCGACUGGAAGUGGCCCUCUUGGCCAUAUGAAAAGCACCUGCCCCGACUGCGUUUAUACUGUCGUGAAAAAUAAGGACCACCGCAGAUCACGCAGCGCAGAGCCUGACGACGAUCAGGUCCUUCUCGCUGAGUAGACGAGCCACGUCCUCGCGACUGGCUCCGGCUCCUGGGAUGCCUCGGCAUCCUCCGUGAGUGCAUCUGACUCGCACCCUCAGCCGCGGGCCUCUUGCCUUUCCCCUUGUCCAAGCCCUCGCGACGCUCCUGCAACUCCACCGCGCCGCUCUCCACAUUGAGCGCGCGGUUCACCACAUCUCUGAAGGUCUGGAGGUUGGAGGACUGCACCAACCGGAAGAUCGAAGGCCGUAAUCCACGCUCGAAAAUGCGGGCCUUGCCCUCGUCGUCCCGCACAACAAAGGGCAUAUAAUGAAGAAGCCGGGAGAACUCCCUCUCGUACUCGGCCACGGUCCUGUCUCCCUGGCGCAUCCCGCGCAAGUCCUGCUCCAUCUUCCUCUUGACACUGUUAGGGAAGUAAUGCGCCAGCAGAAGCUCCUUGAACUUCUUCCAUGUGAUCGCUGCAACGUCGGUGUUGGGAUUUUCCUGAAGAUCCAACCACCAACAAUAGGCCUCGCCGUCCAAGUGGUGUGUGGCGAGCUAAACUCUAUCCCUCUCUUCCACAAGGUAUCACGGAAAAGCUUCUCCAUAUGCAUGAGCCACUUAUCCACAAUCCAGUAGUCCGCGUUCUCCCCGUCGAAGGUCCGCGGACUACACCUCCGGAACUCACUGAGGCGCUCCAUAAGUCGAUCCCGCUCAGCUCCCUCAACCAUCACGGGAAAAACUGCCCCCGCCAAAGGCACCUGAGCUGGUGGUGCCGCAAACUCCUCUCGAGGUGCAACAACCGGUGCUGUUCUCGAAGUACCGAGCUCUAGAGACGGUGCCCUCGGUGUCAUGACCACUGCCGGCGGGGGUGGGGGUAUGGGCACUUGUGCCCCCCUAGCAGCCACCUGCUGCACGAGCAACUCCUCUAGGCGCUCUAUCCGCGCCUCCUGCCCGCGCGCUGCAUCCGCUUGCUGCUGAGCCGCCGCCGCCUGCUGCACGACCAAGUCAGUGAGGGCCGCAAGCUGGCUCCUCAACUCACGACCUCGCCGGAUCCAGAAGUAGCGGAGGUCUCGGCCUCCUCAAAGUUUGCCGCGUUGUCCGCUCCAACAGACUUAGAGCGUGUCGUCGGCAUAAUCACUACAGCAUCAUAAAAGCGCAAGUAGUAAAACCCACGCUAUCGCAACCCCGCUCAACAAAAUGUACCCAAAUCAUGCGAAAGUAAGGAAGUGUUCUCUACUACUAACUCCCGAUGUUACGUUGUCGGCUGCGAACGUAACCCUCCGCGAAGUUAGAAGCUAAACACUCCAAUUAAAUUCUAACUAUUUAUAGUUAUUAUAAUACCCAAUCAUGAUACUUUCGCUCAUUAAUUAAAUAAACCUCGUCUCUCACGAGCCUAUUUCCUAUAGUCUAACCGGCCUAAGGUUUAUUAGGUCCACUAAGACUAAACCCUAGGCUCUGAUACCAAAUUAAUCUGUCACGCCCCGGGACCCGGCAUAGGCCCGCCCGGUGCAUGCCCAGACCCGCCAUAUGCCUGCACAUAUAAGGCGUCUACAAGAAUAGAGAUAUGAAAGCAAGAAGGAGUAAGACAACUAGAGAUAUCAGAGCAACCAGCAGCUAAAAUACUAAUAACAAGUAGAGAGAAAAGAAAACUAAUCCACUGAUAGUAAAACAUAAGGAAAAUACAACAUCUGUCUAAAAAUACAAAAUGGGUGGUCUCUAUACAUGGUACAACUCUCAACCUCUUCAAAAUAAAACCAAUGAGAGGAAAACCACCUAUCGAUACGUCCCUCGCAAAAGAGCUAGCUCGAGGCGAUGCCCUUUUCGCGAUCACUAGUGUCACGCCCCGAGCCCCAUCUAUUUGGUCAGGUUCGGGCACGCCGACAGACCGCCGAACGUACAAAGUGUAAUAUACCGAAAAUUCGAAAAAUUAAAAAAAAAUAUCGAACUUUAGUCAAAUUGACCAAAGUGUGAGGACAGUACACUUCGGAAAGUCCAAAGGUGUUAAAAUGAUUAAAAGUGCAUUGUGGAAGGUUUUCGAGAGCUAAAGAAUCAAAUUCUGCAAAACUGCAGAUUUUGAGCUCUCGGGGACCGGUCCCUGGCGGUGGUGCAAUCGGAACGGGCCCACCAUUUCUUAUCAGUUCAGUAUUAGGAACUCAUCGAGGUUGGUAGACGCGACGGAGUUCAAGUUGAGGAAGACUCACUUUUCUAUGAAAUUCGAGAACACUAGGCAUAUAUGAAGCGUAGCGAGCGGUAUCUCCAUUACCGCGGUAUCGAAGUUACGUUUCUGAUGCCGGCGGUUGAGGUUCAGUACUCAUCCCAUUAAGGAAAGUAUUAGGAAGUUAACCGCUUUACGUAUGCGCUAGUGAAAAGGCAGGACGUAGUUUUGUGUCGGGUUAGGUAAUUUGCUUCGUAGUGAUAUUUAGUGUAUGGGACGAGGUCGUCAGCCGUUCCAUUCCUAGCCCCGUUAGCAGUUAGCGACGAAGUUGAGAACUUUCGAGGAAAGUGUUCGUAAUAAGGUUUACUUGAAUCAAGGAAAUACGCACUCGGAGCACUCCCCUCAUCUAUUGAAACGUUUAGGGAGUUGUUUGGCAGCCAUCAUCGGCCGGUUUGGUUACUUCGAGGCUUAGAGCCAGUGUGAGCAGCCGGAGCCGGUUAGGAACUAUCGAAACCCAUUCCCGCUACACCAGCGACGGUCUACUGAUUCAGUGCUGAACUUGGUAACAACCUACACUACGCUACUCAAGCGGCGGUCUACCGAUUCAGUACUGAAAUCAGUAACAACCCAAGCUACGCUACUCAAGCGGCGGUAUACCAAUUCAAUCUCCACGUCAUCCGACACUGCCGUCGAUCCGACACCACGUCGGUCACGCGUCUGAUAAGCGCCUACUAACUGAGCUCCAACUCAGCCUACCAAUCGAACUAAUCCAAUUACCUUUGGAUAUUCGAUCACUAUCUUCGUUCUCGUUUCCAUUAUCUCUGGAAUCUUCGUUCACCGUGAACUCAACACUUGGAUUCUAUCAUCUUUGGAAUCUUAACUUACUGUACUCGAUUUCAAUCGUUUCAACUUGUAUUUUAGUUAUCUAGAUGAUCAACUAAUGUAUAUAAGUAUAACGUAUAACGCUCCGUACAAUGACGAUCAACGUAUUAAUGUAAUGCUAUAUAUAUAGACAUCUACAAACACCUGAUUGUACUAACGUCACGGAGGAACCUGGAUAGCUAGAACGAAAAGGGAAUCCACCGGCAUGGGUGACCCUUGGUACCUCAAGCAAGAGUGGGGUGCAACAAAACCCCACAAUGUCCAAGCGUGCACUCGCCGCGCCGCCGCGCUCCGUUCCGCAUCGAGGUAUCUAUCGCGGGAUGGGUUCUCUGGUCUCUGUCGCCAUGGGGCUCAGCCGUAUCAGAUCCCCAUAUCCUUUCCUUUUCUUUGUGUUACAUAGUUUAAACAUUAUAAUUAACAUUAUUGAAUUAACGUAAACCUUCAACUUACAUUACAUUUUACUUAGAUUACCCUUACGAACAUUAUUGUAUCCUACACAAUACAACAAACUAUGGAAGGAAUACAUUAGAACAUACUUAUGACAAGAACAAAACUUGGAGAACAUAACAUGAUUAACGCUGCGGAUCCUGCAUGUCCCCUCCGAAACACAGUGCGGGGCCCUGGCUAUGGUUAAACCGGGCUGGGCUCGUGCAGUUUGUCUGCGGCUUGCCUGUCUCAAAAGGGAUAGGCGGGUUCCGAGUAGUGUACAUGUAAAAGUAGUUAUCUCUUUUCAUGAUCGCCUUCGUAUGUGUUUGCCGAAUGCGUUCCCAUUCGUUAUCGGUAGUCACUUUCUUUCCUUUUGAUUUGUAAAUAUUCAUGAUACUAAGUAAAAACUAGUAUAUGUAACGUAAGUAGAACAAGUAAAAGUUUAAGGAAUGUAAAGUAAAGUAGUAAAGAAAGAAUGUAGUGUAAAUGGAGUUUUAUGUGUAAUGUAAGAAAAGAAAUGUAGUAAAUGGUAGUACAUGUUUUCUACUAGCAUCCCAUGAAAUGAUGUUUUACUUUGGGUUGAAACCACCGGAGACUGAUUCCGCGCUAUGGAAAUGGAGCCAGCGAGCGGCCGAGCGAGCCAGGGCCGAGACACCUUUAUCACCCCACUCUUGAUGUUGUUUCAAGGAUCACCCAAGCCGGAGUUGUAGUGGCUGAAAAGGUGAUCCUGAUUGAGUCCGUAUUAUCUUUCUUAUUCGACGUAUAUCAUUGGUUAGAUAUGUACUACGAUUAUACGGACUUGUUAUUUCGUUCCUCAUACGAGUUGUAAUUUAUUUACGUCUAAUACGUUUAAGAAACAAGAAAAGUAAAAUGAGAAACAAGAAACAAGAAACAAGAAACGUGAAACAAGAAACGAGAAACAAGAAAUUAGAGUUCCGAUUGGGCCCGCAUAGCGGUGUAAUUGAACGAAGUGUAAUUCAGGUAGUAGCGUCCUUGAGUGGGCGAUCCUGGCAGGAAGCCCAAAUGAGGUUGGGCACUACGUAUUGAGGCCUCGCGUAGCGGGCUCCCCCUCGCUGGCGGGAGCUCGUGCCUUGAGUAUCGUUCAUACUAGUAUAGGAAUUGAGUUUCCUAAAUAUUCAAGUUAGAACUGAAAUGUGAUCGAGAUCACAAGUAAUGUAAUGAAAUACAACGUUUGAGUACGUUAGUGUAGGAAAUGUAUAGAAAUGAAGACGAUCGAGAUCGUAAGAACAAGCAAUGUAAGGAGCAAGAAUAACGGGGUGAAAUGAAAUUGAAAUGUGUAACAGUAAAAGUAGUAAGAAAUGUAGUGAAAUCAAGAAACCGAGUGUGAUUAUCCAGUAAAACGAGUAUAGAAAAGUAGCCGAAAAGCAUUGCAAUUAAGCUCGUGUGGUUGCGCAGCCUUUAUGGGGGUUAAUCCAAAAAUCUCUCAGUUAACGUGAAUCUUUAAGGGUACUCGUUUUCGGGGUUAAACCACGGGAUUGAGGUUAUGUGUACAGUUUGAAUCCCAAACUAGAGUUUCUCUUCGUUUUCAUCGAAGUAAUACGAGAUCUCUCAAGUAGAUUUGGUAAGGAUCGAGUAAGGUUUGGGAUCAAACCUAAAGUGGUACUCUCCACCCAACUUCGAGUGGAACUCGAGUUGGUACUAAAACUAGAGAUUUCUUCAUUUUCUUUUCGAAGUUUCUGAGAUUUGUUAGGUAAUUUUGGUAAAGAUCCAAAUAAGUUUCGGAUAAAAUCCCAAAAUCAUACUAUCCCAAGUUUCGAAUGGAAUAUUCGAAAGAGAAAGAAGGUGAGAUCUCCUUCCUCUACUUCAACGAAGUGGAGAACUAGAAGAAGAAGUGGAAGAAAAGGAAGAAAAGGAAGGAAAGAAAGAAAGAAAAAGAAGAGGAAACAGAAGAUCUCUCUCUCCCUCUCUACUCUCACAAACUCUCCCACUCUUACUCUCUUAUAGAGUAAACGGGAGUAUUGUAUCGAGUAACCCAACGUAUUAACGUCGAUUUGGGGAGUUGAAAAUGAAAGAAUGUGACGGACCUGACCCGACAAGCGCGUCCGCCCCUGGCCAGAGAGGAAGUCCCUGGCCAAGGGCUUCCAGCAGGCUCGCGUCGGUCUCGACGACGCGCGUCACGUUGGCCAGAGAGGAAUCCACUGGCCAGAGAGCCCCUGGCCAGAGAGUCCUUCCCUGGCCAAGGGCUCUCGAUCAAAGAGUCCUGAAUCGGCUAAAAAGCCGACAGAGUGAAGUAUGCGCAAGCUCCUGGCCAGAGAGGGCNNNNNNNNNNNNNNNNNNNNNNNNNCGACCUUCGGGGAACCGUCCUGAAGGAGAGACGGCUUCCCCGCCUGCUGGCGAACUGCCCAGUUCCGGCAGUUGUAUUUAAAGUGAAACGUUGAGGGUUUAUUUGCAAUUAUGCAACCCAAUAGCUAUGUUAAUGCAGGGCUAAUGAAGAUUUUCUCUCAUUCACCCACUCAAAACACUCUUCUUCUCUUCCCCACUCUCUCCUAGAAAGGCAAAGGAGAAAGAUAAGAAAGAAAGAAAGGAAGGAAAAGAAGGAAAAGAAGGUGGAAGAAGAAAUCAAGGAGGUGAAGCAACUUCAUUUUCUUCCUCUCUAGUGCAAGAAAGGAAAGCCUUAUAAGUGACUUUGAACCCUUAUUGCUAGUAAAACCCACAAAGGGCUUUUUGGAAUAAACCUAGAAAUGGUUUAUGGCAUUGUUUAGAGUUUUUGACUUUCUUUUUGCUUUCUUUAGAGAUCAAAGUCAAUGGUUUACUUGAGGUGAGCGUUGGCCACCUUCUAAUGGUGAAAUACCAAUACUAGGGUUUGGAAUGAGCUAAUUGGGAGAAUGGUUUAGAUGAACUCUUUAGAGUAUAUUUGGAAGCUACUUUUGCUUUCCCAAUGAGACAAACCUAGAGUUUGAUUGUAUGUAUUCGAGCAUAUCGGCACCAAAAUUGGGGCUUUUGCUUAUGGGAAUUUUCUAAGUGCAAUUGACCUUCUAGAAACUAAUUGGAGGGAUAUUUCUCGACGCGUUGGGGCUGUGAUUAAUGUUACGAAAAGCCAACUGUAAUUAAGUUAUGGCCAAAUAGCCUAAUCUUGGCUCGUUUCUGCCGACCAGGUAAAGAACGAGGAAGUCUAAAAUCCCAAGAAAAUUCAUCGGACACCUUUGAAAGCCUACGUAGGUGGGUGGUGCCUUCUCAAACCUCGUUGAACUUCCCUCUAUGCCAAUGUCAUUCAAUUGACAUAUGUUACAUACUUAUGUUGCAUGCAUUUUAGGUAAGUGAUGAUAAAAUGUGAUGUUGCAUGAAUUGUGAUACAACUUUCAUAAUAUGAUGCAAUGAGAACUAUCUGAUGUGAAAAACCCAAUGUGUAUGCAUAGAGAGUAAAGUGAGCCCCCAAAGUUGAGCAAAAGAAACAGGCUGACAUUACAAUGACAUAGAUCAAUGGCAUUCGAAACGUAAAGUAAAGGACACUAAGUUAGUGUGAGUCUAAGAACCAAUGAAUGUAUGUAAAGAAAUGAUGAAAAUGACAAUAUGUAAUUUAAAGUAAGGAAGGGCAAUAAACGAGAAAUGAUAAGAACAAGAAUGCUAAAGAAAACAAAGUUAAAGAAAAGUAAACGAACAACGAUUAGCUGAGUGGCAACAUAAGUGAUGUAAUAAACACUAGAGAGUAGUGUAAAGUCAAUGAUUGAACUUAUAAAUCCUUUUGAGUUAAGGAUAUCGAUCAUACUUGCUUAUGAGUUCGUGCUCGAGGCAGGUCGCUCCUUCUGCGAUGGCGGCUCCGGAGUUAUGCAUACGGUUGGGAUAAACCAAGGAACGUCUAGCGGGCUGAGUUCCUUGCGAUGAUGGACUUAAUGUGAAGCAAGUUAAUUUGGGCGAAACCCCGGUUUAGCCUUGAGAUGUAAAGAAUAAAGAACAAGAGCAAGGAAAAGAACAAAGAUGCAAAGAGCAACAGGACAAAGAACAAAGUGUAAAGAUUAAAGAAAGAAGAUAUUGCAUAAUCUGCCAUCUUAUUUAUUGUGGUGCAUAACCCUUGGCCUUAUUUGUUCAGCAUAUUCAUCAUGAAAUAGAUGGUUAUAUAUUGCAGCUUAUUCUUUAUUAUUAUGCCUGAGUUAUAAGCUAGUGGGGAAAGUCCGUGAUGUUGAGCGAACCACUGGGAAUUUGUUUAGUUCUGCACCCCGCUAUUUCACGAAGCCCCGGGACGAAGCGAGCGCGCGAGCAGACCGAGGUAAAGGUAUCGCGCGCCUUGUCAGAGGCCACAAAAGUUGGUUUCAUUCUAUGUAGUAAAGUACUACGAUCAUCUUUGUACAUGAUGGUAAAUUGAUGUAAGAAGAAGAAAAGAAUGUAAUGUGUAUUUUGAGGUAAAUGUGAUGUAAGAAAGAAAUGAUGAAAUGAAAUGUAAGGAAUUUGAAAAUGAACAAGAUGAAUGCAAUGUAUAUGAUCAAAAAUGAAUCAUAGUACUUAUAAAUGUUUAGUUUUCCUUUCUUUCACUGAUGGCUAUUGCUUACCCUUGCGUAAGCCGUUUGUGUAUGCUUCCGCUAGUACUUUUCUCUAUUGAUGAAAAUGUACAUGUGAUGAGCCUUGGGCGGAUAGGGAAAACUCUGUCCGUUCGGCGUCUGUUUGACGUGCUCGGGUCGGGCCAAAUUGGUAUCGGUCCCGGGGCGUGACACAAAGCCUCCCCUGUACGUCCUAGGCGUCGCAAUUAGUACAAUACAAGAGGUUCAAAACAAGAACAGUAUUCAUACAAGAUUACAUAAGGAAGGUAUCAAACAACAUAACACAUCCUAUGUUAUUACAAGCAUUCCCAUUAGAUUCAUUUUACAUUACAUUCAACUUCCAAAUGCAAUUAAGUUAUUACAAUUAAUAUUACAAAUUUGAUACAUUGUGUUUCUUUUCCUUUCCUAUACCCCUAGACUAUGCCGACUCGGGGUACCGCUGUCUCUGGUCUCUUGGGUAGGGCGCUAUCUAUGGAGCUACGCCUUGCCUCGCGCCGCCGCGCCGCUCACGUGCGAACCUGUAACACCCCAAAACAACGUGGGGUGAGAACGAACUCCAUGGUUCCCAGUGGGUACGGCCACCUAAGGGAAAAGCAAGAUCGAUAGGUCCAAGGAGGCACUGCAAUCAUGUUAGUCCACAAACAUCUACAGAUAUAUAUAUCGUAAUGUAAUUAUGCAACUAGCAGUAACAUGCCUCGCAAUAUGCAAUAUGAAUAUAUGUAAUCAACUAGUAGAUCUAUUGAUUUUAUGUUCAACUUUGCUAACUUUAGCUCAUGUCAUUCAAUUCUAAGGUUUCUACUAUCUUAGGUUCACAACUCAAGUGCCACUUGCUUCUAAGGUCUCUAUUACCUUUGCUCUUGCUUCUAUCACUAGCUUAUAGGUUUCCAUUAACCUAAUCAAGCUAACCAUCCGACUCAACCUCGAGUCAAUCAUCCGCGAAUAGUCUGCGCACUGGCUGCACCACAGCCUAGCUGCCGUCACAGCCUACUGCACCUCUAACUUAACCAUAUGGCGGCGAACUCAUCGCAUCGAACCCAACAAUGACUAAAGUCAUGACUUAGCCAUCUGGCGGCGAACUCAUCGCAUCACAUCCAACAAUGGUUCAAGUCGUGACUUAGUCAUCUGGCAGCGACCACAUCGCCCUUACCCAAAGCUAUCAAGGAUUGGCCGAGGCCGACGAGUGUGACCGAGAUUCGGAGCUUCAUUGGUUUGGCCGGCUACUACCGACGGUUUGUUGAGGGAUUUGCAAAGUUAUCUACUCCCCUCACGAGGCUCACGCAUAAAGGAACUAAGUUCAUUUGGAAUAAUGCUUGUGAAAGGAGCUUUCAAGAGUUGAAGCAGCGAUUGACGAUUGCCCCGAUCCUUACCUUGCCGACUGCUGGAGCAGGGUAUGUGAUUUAUAGUNUUGUGCUUGUACCGGUACAAGGUUGAUGGUUGUAUCGGUACAGCCAUCGGAGCUUGUACCGGUACAGAGCCGCAGAGCCCAGCAACCCGAGCCUCGGGUUUGGAUUUCGUGGACCUUGUACCGGUACAAGGGUCCGUGUACCGGUACAAGGCGGCAGAUUUUGAGCAGUUCGAAACUGCAAGGGCUUUUUCGCGAUUGUAGCCUCUCUAUAACAGCACCCUCGCCCCUAGGGCUUUUCUUAUGCUGGAACCACAGGGAAACAAGGUGAGGAGCCCAUCCAUUCCCUCAUUUUGAUUUUCCUUGGUUAUAUUGGAGAUUUUUGAGGAUUAAUGCCUCAUUUUGCUUCUUGUUGCAUCUUGGAGGCUUUUUCCACCAUUGGAGAGGACUUGGAGCUUUGUUGGAGGCUUGUUGGAGGAAAGAUCUUCCACCCCAUUUGAUUUGGAGCCCAAGUUGAGACUUCUAGAGAGGUUAGCAACAUGAUUUGAGCUUUUGAUCCAUGUUUUGCUAAGUUUUUGAGAUGAAACCCUAGAUUUGAUACUUAGGGCUUAUUUUGGGUAUUUUGAAUCUAGGGCUUUUGGGGCUAAAUUAGUUGGUUUAGAACCUUCCUUGGGCUUGGAGUGGAAGGGUUCUAGCUCUCUUUUAGAGCUUUGGAAGAGAUUUCUUCUCUUGAGGUGAGAUUUGACCCCUUUUGCUUCUAGGUUAAUGUUUGAUAUUAUAAGAUGAUCGUAAUGCCCGUGUAUCUUGUCGCUCAAUACUUUUAGGGUAUUUUGAGACUCGGGGACAACUUUGUUUGGCGAAACGAGGCACUACGCGACGGUUCGGUGGGUUUGACCUAGCCUAUAUAUGAGAAAUUCUCAUAUAUGGUUAUAUAUGUUCCGUAAAUUGAAAAAGCAUGCAUGUUCAUACUAAAUGUAUUUAUUAUGAUUUUUAGAAUGCUUAAAAUGUAUAUGUUACAUAUGAUAAAAUUUUGGACCUCUAUGUAGUAGAGAGUUGCUUGGGAGAUCUAUGGUUGCAUUUAGCAUUCUUUAUGAGACUUGGUUCCAUGUUUCUAUAGUGUAAAUGAGUUCGGAUUCAUGCAUUUAAACUUAAGUUUACUUGUGACAUGAAAGAUGACAAAAUUGCCAUUUAGAAGGUGUGUGAACUAGAGAGCUAAUGUCAUCAAGCGGCAUUGAGCUCGGGACAUGUGUGAACCUAGUGGAUAGGGCCAUUGAGGGAUGUGGAACAUGCUUAAACAUUAAAUGUCUAAGUAUCAUAAAGGGGCACCAGACCUAGAGAAUGUUGGAACUUCAUUUGUGACUUAGAACUAGAUCUUCCAAAUGCUAGUGACUAUACCAUGUUAGAGACAUGAGGGUUGGAUACUUGAGACUUGGACUAUGCUUGCUUGCCAUUUGUGCUCAUUCGCACAUGCUUGUGAGGGUCGCUCCCUACAAGCCGGCACUCCAGAGUUAGCCUUCGCGACCUAUGUUCGCUCGUGCGAUAUUGAGAAGCCUACGGGGUCGAGUGGGACAGACACAUUCCAAGAGUAGGGAUGUUGGGCUACCACAGGCACUUAGGCGGCAUAAGCUGAACUACCUUUGGUAGGUCCUUGAUUGGAAAUGAAAAUCGACACGGUGUUGAAAAUGAAUAAUCGCUACUAAAUAGGCUUAGUAGUUGGAUUAGGUGACAUGCUCAUGACAUAGCAAUGAGGUCUAUAGUACACUUGCCGGUUUCAUGCAUUGCAUCAUAGUAUACUGGGUUAUCUUGAUAGAGCGUACUCCUUAUAUUUUGGCAUAUGGUAUUGUGAGGUUUACUUCUUCAUUUUGUUGAGGCAUAUUAGUAUGCAUUGGAUAUGUUACUUUAUGAUAGCGUAGAUGUACACCACCAUGACAUCAUGCUUAUUGGAGACAUAGUAGUAUAGCAUUUCAUUCAUGUUUUCUUUCAGCAGUUUUUGUGUUCGCUAUUUAUUGCAUAUUACUAUAUGUCGUUACUUACCCUUUUCUUCUGGGGCCUAGUGGUGCAUUGAGCUGAGGUCAGUAAUUGCCCACUGGAAACUAUAAAUUAUAGUUCUCACGCCCUCUUUUUCUCGAUGUUUUUCAGAGCCUUCCACGCAGGGUGAGGCCAGGAAUCGCGGGAAGGGAGUUGCUUCGAGCUAGCUUCCUUCGAGGAUGAGUUGCUAGGUGGUCUACCUCUCGAUGUUUACUUUUUGGCGAGAGGUUGAGGGUUGUACCAGUGUACUAGAGACCACCAUUUUUGUACUAGAGACAGAUAUUGUACUACUUAUGGUUUUUUUUAUUGUCUAGCUUUAUUUCUAUACUUUGGUGUAGAUGAUAGAACUUUACUCGCUCUGAUAUCAUUAGUUGCUAGUUAUUUCACUUCUUUUAUUUGUUCUAUCUCUUGUUUACUUCCGCUUUUGUUGUAGAUGCCUUAUAUGUGUAGACAUAUGGCGGGUCUGGGCACGCUACCGGGAGGGCCUUCGUCGGUCCCGGGGCGUGACACCUGUGGUAGCCCGACAUCCCUACUCUUGGAAUGUGUCUGUCCCACUCGACCCCGUAGGCUUCUCAAUAUCGCACCAGCGAACAUAGGUCGCGAAGGCUAACUCUGGAGUGCCGGCUUGUAGGAAGCGACCCUCACAAGCAUAUGCGAAUGAGCACAAAUGGCAAGCAAAUAUAGUCCAAGUCUCAAGUAUCCAACCCUCAUGUCUCUAACAUGGUAUAGUCACUAGCAUCUCGAAGAUCUAGGUCUAAGUCACAAAUGAAGUUCCAACAUUCUCUAGGUCUAGUGCCCCUUUAUGACACUUAGACAUUUAAUGUUUAAGCAUGUUCCACAUCCCUCAAUGGCCCUAUCCACUAGGUUCACACAUGUCCCGAGCUUAAUGCCGCUUGAUGACAUUAGCUCUCUAGUUCACACACCUUCUAGUUCAACAACUCUAAAUGGCAAUUUGGUCAUCUUUCAUGUCACAAGUAAACUUAAGUUUAAAUGCAUGAAUCCGAACUCAUUUACACUAUAGAAGUAUGAAACCAAGUCUCAUAAGGAAUGCUAAAUGCAACCAUAGAUUUCCCCAAGCAACUCUCUACUACAUAGAGGUCCAAAAUUUCAUCAUGUAUAACAUAUGCAUUUUAAGCAUUCUAAAAAUCAUAAUAAAUACAUUUAGUAUGAAUACGCAUGCUUUUCCAAUUUACGGAACAUAUAUAACCAUAUGUGAGAAUUUCUCAUAUUAUAGGCUAGGUCAAACCCACCGAACCGUCGCGUAGUGCCUCGUUUCGCCGAACAAAGUUAUACACGAGUCUCAAAUCACCCUAAAAGUAUUGAGCGAAGAGAUACACGGGCAUUACGAUCAUCUAUAAGAUCAAACAUUAACAAUUAUAGCACAAGGGCUAAAACUCACCUAAUGAGUGGGAAAUCUCUCCCAAGCUCCAAAAGAGAGCUAAAUCCCUUCCAAUCCAAUCUAGGAAAAGGUUCUAAUCCAAAAGAUUUAGCCCCAAAAGCCAUAGAAUCAAAAUGCCCAAAAUAAACCCUAAUUCACCAAUCUAGGGUUUCAUCUUGAAUCCAUCAACAAAAAUCAAAUUUAGAGGGAGAGAGCAAGUAGAUUACCUCUUAGAAGCUCCAAUCCAAGCUCUAAGCUCUCAAAGUCCAAGGAUCUCCCCUCAACAAAGCUCCAAAACAAAGCCCCAAAGGUGGAAAAGCCUCCAAUCAAGCAAAAGAAGCAAAAGAGAGGUUUAAUCUCUUAAAAUCCUACCAAAAUCCAAAUAGAUCAAAAGGAAAUCAAAGAGGGCUCUCUUACCUCUCCUCUUGCUGGUCCCAAGCUCAGGAAAAGACCCCUAGGACGUGGGGGUACUAAUAAAAAGUCCACAAUCGCAAAAAGCCCCCUGCAGUUCAAACUGCAUGAAAUCAGCCCCCUUGUACCGGUACACGGGCUCUUGUACCGGUACAAGGUCCACGAAAUCCAAACCCGAGGCUCGGGUUGCUGGGCUCUGCGGCUCUGUACCGGUACAAGCUCCGAUGGCUAUACCGGUACAACCAUCAACCUUGGUACAAGCACAACCUUGUACCGGUACAAGCCCGCCAGAACUCAAUCCGAGAGUGAGCCAAAUCCCGUUUUCUCGGGUUUUGGUGCAAGGCUUUGUACCACAAAUCUCGGGACACGUGCCAUAGGUCGGAACACAGUCAACGACCCACUAGAAAAUCUGGAAAAGAUCAGAACACGGCCAAUCACUCGAACCUCGCAAUUUGCAAAGGUCUAGUGUGUUACAAAAGUACUCUCUUUAUUUCACUUGUAUAUCUUGUGGAUUACUUGCUCUUCUUGUUGUUGGCACUGUUUGUGCCCUCGUUGAAUGUGUAUGUUUAGAAUUUAAAGUCCUGGGUAAAUUCUUGUACACAUUCCUGUCGUUGAGCCUUGGGCGGACAAGGGAGGUGCUGUCCGUUUGGCGGUCCGUCGCUGCGGCCGAAUCGUGCCAAAUUGGUAGUGGUUUCGAGGCGGGGCGUGACAAUGUCAUAUGCACUACAUGCAACAUGAUCUCAAUCAAAUGUAAGAAUGCUAACUAUAUGCAAGGUUCCAAAUAUGAACAGUUCUCUACUACAUAGAGGUCCAAUGUACUUUAUACAUAAUAUGCACAUAUUAAGCAUUCUAAAAUUCUCAAAUAUUCUAUCUAGUAAGAAUAUGCAUGCAUUUUUAUUUUACGAAAAGUAAAACCCAUUAUAGGGAUGAUUUAUCCCAUUUUGGUGAGGCCAAACCCACCGAGAGUUCCACUCGGCCUUCGUUUGCGCCGACGAAGGUGCCCACAAGCUUCCUAGCCCCCUAAAGGUUAAAGUAGGAGCGAUACACAAACGUUACGAACAACGAAUAGGUUAAACAUUAACCAACUCAACAUAAGGCUAAAAACUCACCGAAUGCGAAGGGUGCUCUUUCGAUCUCCAAACGGGAGUUAGAGCCCUUCCAAACCAACCUACACGAAGGUUCUAAACCCAUCAAUUGGGCUCCAAAAGCCCUAGAUCAAAAAUUCCCAAAUCAAACCCUAAAUCCUCAUUUCUAGGAUUUCUAAACAAAAAUAAAGUAAAAUAUGAAUCUAAUGAGAGAAACAUGUUACCAACCUUUAUAGAAGCUCCCAACUAGGCUAGAAGUCAACUAGGGUUGAAUAUCUCUCCUUCAACAAGCUCAACUCCAAGCCUCAAGCUUUCUCCCAUGGUGGAAAUAGCACCAAGUAGCAAAAAGGAGCAAAAAGAGAGGAUUAAACCUCGAAAAAUUCCAACAAAAAUAAAGAAAAUCAAAGAGGGAGAAUACAGAGCUCCCUUACCUUCCUCUCCACUGGUUCCAAGCUCAAGGAACACCAGGGGGCGUGGGGUACUAAUAUAGUGAAGUUACAAUCCCAAAAACAACCCUGCAGUUCAAGCAGUCUGCGGACUACACUGUGUACCGGUACACGUGGUUGCGUACCGGUACACACCCCACGAAAAUGCGAAACCCGAGCCUCGGGUUGGCUGAGAAGCUGCCUGUGUACCGGUAUACGGCCCCGCGUACCGGUACAACCAUUACCCCGUACCGGUAUAGCCAUCAACCAUGUACCGGUACACAGCCUGCUGAAGGCUACCCGAGAGCACACCAAUAAUCCAACUUUUUGGGUUUUGGUGCAAAGUUUUAAACCACAAAUCUCAGGAUACGAGCCAUAGGUCGGAACACUGUCGAUAACCCUCAAGAAUAUCUGAAAAAACUCAGAUUACACAUCAAACACUCGAACCUUGCAAUUUGUAAAAGCCCAGUGUGUUACACACAUGAUAUCAAGUUCAUUCGAACUCUAACACAUAUACUUAGAGUUCAUCCGACUAACUCUAAUACAUGCCCUUAGGGUCUGGUUAACCUUUUACUCUAGCACAUAUACCUGGAGUGGAAGUCAAACCAUGCUCAACUAGUCCUAACACAUACACUUAGGGCCUAGUCAGCCUUUUGCUCUAGCACAUCUAUCUAGAGUGAAAUCCAUAUCCGAUCGAGCUCUAAUACAUAUACUUAGAGCUUAUGUAAAUCAAAUCCGACGAAACCUAACAUAAUAACUCAAGGCUUAGUCAGAUCCUCACUCUAGCACAUAUAACUAGAGUGAAAAAUAUAUUAAACUCGGUUAAUCCUGAUAUAUACACUCAGGAAUUAGCCACUCUCUACUUUCGGGUAAUAUCAAAUCCAACCUACCUCAAUACAUAUACUUGGGGUUUGGUCACUCUAAGACAUAUACUUAGAGCCAAUUAGACUCUAAUACAUAGAGUUUAAUAUUGACUAGGUCUUAACACAUAUACUUAGGACCUAGUCAAUUUCAAAUUCAACUGAAUCCUAAUACAUAUACUUAGGAUUCAAUAAACCAAGAUACGAUUCAUUCAAUUCCAUCUAUAAAGGUCUCUUAAUCGAAGGUGCCCCAAUUUACAGGGGGUAAUUAACAAUAGAUGCUUGCAUCUAUUGGAAGCCAUGAAUCCGUAAUACCUGAUACCCACAUACAUAUAGAUACUCAUCUGAAUCAUGAAUACUACCCCACGGCCUAAAAUCCAUCGACCGUGCGAGGUGCGUCAUUCAUGGUGGCAGACAAAAUGGCACGCCCGGUGGGACAUGACUUCUCCUUCCAUCUUCGAGACCUUAAAAAAAAAAAAGAAAAAAAGAAAAAAAGAAAAGGUUGUGAAAAUUAUUCCUAACCUCUACAUUUUUCCACAAGGAAAUGGCACCAACAUCAAAGAACGUUGUCGCUGCAUCAACAAACUCAAUAAUACUGGAGGCGGGUUCGCGAGUCUGCUUGCCCACAUCCGUCCUGACAUUCGGAACUGCAGGUGCCUCAAUCCAAUUUGGCACCAUUCCGGAAGAUAUUCGAGCUGCUGUCAUGGAUCAAAUUCCUGCUGCUACUGGGGGCAUGACCACUCCCGUCGCCCCUUCACAGGAUGUAUCCAAUGUGGUCAUUCCUCAGCUGCCAUCUCGAGGAAGACGACCCAAUGUGGUCAUCCCCAACCCUCCUCGCCGACCAAUAGGCGAACGAUUUUCACUUACCAACCUGCAUCCAAGAGGAUGUAGUCUGAGGGAAGACUGAUAUUUCCAAAUGGCAGAGUGCAGAAAGCAUCAGUGUUCGAUAGGCUGGCACUUUCUAAUGAUACUACAACCGCCAUUCCAACAACGAGAGCGUCUUUUAAAAGGAAUAACCGCCGCCAACUCCAUAGAGGAAAGGUUGCUGGGGCCAAGGACAAUAACGUUCAAUAGCCCCAAAUAUCCAAUUGACCGCCAUGUCGUUAAACUGAACAAAUAUAGCCGACAAAAUAAGGCUAACAUGUGCAGUGAGGCCAUCCUCAUUAAACCAUAUAGUUGGAAGACACAUCACUUCUCAAUUAGUCUUAAAAAAAAAAGAAAAAGAAAAAAGGUGGAGGACAUGUUAUUUAAAAAAAAUUUUAGAUAAUAUGAGUAAAAUAUGAGCCACCAGCGGACUUGAUUGUCCAUAUCGGACUUCAAGGGUAAAAUUGUAAAAAGUCUAGACUGUGGUAUAACUCCACAGGCAAAAUUGGGAUCCCCGCUGUGAGAAAACCUUUCAAGGUUCACAGGCAAAAGUUAGGGGAAGGUACAUGGUGAAAACCCAUUAGGGCGCCAAAAUAUCCAAAAUGUAUGUUGCCUAUGAUGGAAUGCUAACUCACCUUAGGGUCGGUUACACGCAGCAAUUUUGAUUGCUUCUUGAGUCAAAAUAAAUAAAAAAAAAAUUCAUGUUCCUUAUUACCCAAAAUAUAUUUUAUCUAUGACGGAAUGCUAACUUACCUUAGGGUUGGUUAUGUGCAGCAAUUUCGAUUGCUUCUCGAGACAAAAUAAAUAAAAAUAAUCCAAGUUCCCUAUUACCCAAAAUAUAUUUUGCCUAUGACGGAAUGCUAACUCACCUUAGGGUCGGUUAUACAUGGCAAUUUCGAUUGCUUCUCGAGGCAAAAUAAAUAAAAAAUAUGUAUUUCCUUGUACAAAAAAAAUAGAAAAAGAAGUGGAGGACAUAUUGUCUAAAUUUUUUAGAUAAUAUGGGUAAAAUAUGAGCCACCAGCAGACUUGAUUGUCCAUAUCGGAUUUCAAGGGUAAAAUUACAAAAAGUCCCGGCUGUGGUAUAACUCCACAGGUAAAAUUGGGAUCCCCACUAUUACAAAACCUUUCAAGGCUCACAGACAAAAGUUAGGAGAAGAUACCUGGUGAAAACCCAUUCGAGUGCCAGAAUACCCAAAAUGUAUGUUGCCUAUGACGGAAUGCUAACUCACCUUAGGGUCGGUUACGCGCAGCAAUUUCGAUUGCUUCUCGAGGCAAAAUAAAAAAAAAAAUCCAUAUUUCCUAUUACCCAAAAUAUAUUUUACCUAUGACGGAGAGCUAACUUACCUUAGGGUCGGUUAUGCGUAGCAAUUUCGAUUGCUUCUUAAAGACAAAAUAAAUCCAUAUCCAAUUGACUGCCACGUCGUUAAACUGAGCAUCCCAUGUCCAAUCGACCGCCAUGUCAUUAAACUGAGCAUCCCAUAUCCAAUCGACCGCUAUGUCGAUAAACUGAGCAGCCCAUAUCCAAUCGACCGCCUUGUCGUUAAACUGAGCAGCCCAUCUCCAAUCGACCGCCAUGUCGUUUAAACUGAGCAUCCCAUAUCCAAGCCAUGUCGUUAAACUGAGGAUCCCAUAUCCAAUCAACCGCCAUGUCACUAAACUGAGCACUUUUAAAUUGACCGCCAUGUCACUAAACUGAGCACAUUCAUAUUGACCGCUAUAUCAUUAAACUGAGUAUUGUUAUAUCGACCGCCUUGUCGUUAAACUGAGCAACAUAUAUCCAAUUGACUGCCACGUCGUUAAACUGAGCAAUCCAUAUUUAAUAGACCGCCAUAUCACUAAACUGAGCACUUUUAUAUCGACCGCCAUGUCACUAAACUGAGUAAUUUUAUAUUGACCGCCACGUCGUUAAACUGAGCAAUCUACAUCCAAUCGACCGCCAUGUCAUUAAACUGAGCAAUUAAAUGCAUAUGGUGCGUGGAUGAUCUAAAAAAAAAAUAAAAAAAUAAAAAAAAAAGUAUGGUCAAAGUAGGGACUGAAAAAAAAAGGGGGUCAAAGUAAGGACUGGAAAAAAAAAGAGUUCCGUAUAGGAAGCUUCAAAAAAAAAAAAAAAAGAGAAGUUUCGUACGGAACCUAAAAAAAAAAGUUUCGUAUAGGAAGCUUCAAAAAAAAAAAGAGAGAAGUUCAGUACAUGACCAUAAAAUAAAAAUAAUAAUAAAAUAAAAAGGAGUCCGUAUAGGACCAAAAAAAAAAAAAAAGAUUACCAUACAGGAACUUCAAAAAAAAAAAAAAAAAAAACCGGUCAAAAAAAAAGUUCCGUACAGGAACUCAAAAAAAAAAAAAAGAAAAAGAAAAAAAAAAAAGAGAAAGAGAGAAGAGUUCGUAAUGGCAGAAAAAAAAAAAAAAUCUUUAACAAAGAAAAGAGGUCUUCUUCGUGACGCACAGAACUCUUAUCGUCAAAAGGUGGGGGAAUUUGUUUGCGUAAAAUACUACUUAUAUAGGAUGAAACAAUCCUAAUCAGAAUAAAAAACGAUUAGAUUCGAGUUCAUACAAUCCUAAUAGGUCUCGUGUUAACCAUUAAAUUUUUGGGCCAAUAAUUAUAGUAAGCCCAUUCAUAAAUGUGAGUUCGUGGGCCUCAUGAAAGCCCAUGCAAAAAAAAGGGGGGGGGGCGGCCUUAUUCCAGCCCAUUAAAUAUUAUCAUUUGGGCCCAAUAAAUUAAAGCGGGUCUGAUCAACGACAGCCCACAUCCACAUCCUAUAAAAUAUCCGUUCGAAAUUCGAUUUCAAAUCACAACCCAUUCAAAAUUUAAUUUCGAAUUUCGAGUUCUCAACCAAUUCCCAAAACAUCCUCCAACAACCCAUUCAAAAUUCUAUUUCGAAUUUCGAAUCCAUAACCAAUUCCCAAAAUAUCAUCCAACAACCCAUUCGAAAUUCGAUUUCGAAUUUCGAAUUCCAAACCAAUUCCCAAAAUAUCAUCCAACAACCCAUUCGAAAUUCGAUUUCGAAUUUCGAAUUCCCAACCAAUUUCCAAAACAUCCUCCCACAAUCCAUUCAAAAUUCGAUUUCGCCUUUCGAAUUCCCAACCAAUUCCCAAAAUAUCCUCCAACAAUCCAUUCAAAAUUCGAUUUCGAAUUUCGAAUCCCUAACCAAUUCCCAAAAUAUCCUCCAACAACCCAUUCAAAAUUCGAUUUCGAAUUUCGAAUUCUCAACCAAUUCCCAAAAUAUCCUCCAACAACUCAUUCAAAAUUCGAUUUCGAAUUUCGAAUUUCCAACCAACUCCCAAAAUAUCCUCCAAAAAAAUAUUUAAAAUUCGAUUUCGAAUUUCGAAUUUCCAACCAACUCUCAAAAUAUCUUCCACAAAUCAUUCAAAAUUUGAUUUCGAAUUUCAAAUCAAUCCUCAAAAUACCCUCCAACCAUCCAAGUUACCCAUUCAAAAUUCGAUUUCGAAUUUUGAAUUUCCAAUCAAUCCUAAAUAUCUUUCAACCAACCACAACAACCUAUUCAAAAUUCAAUUUUGAAUUUCGAAUCCCUGAAAAUAUCUCUCACCACCUCUCCCAUUAUAAAUACGAGAAUCGAGAUCAAUACGGAGGACGAUACGAUUUUAUGGAGAGAAAAAAAAAAGAUAGAUUGCUACACACGUUCUGACGUACAAAAAAAUUCUAAGAAUGAGAGAUCGCCGAGCCGUGGAAAGGAUGAGAGAUCGCCGAGCCGCGUAAAGGAGGAGAGAUCGCCGAGCCGCGGAGAGGAGAGAUCGCCCAGCCGCGAAGAGGAGAUGAGAGAUCGCCAAGCUGCGGAAAGGAGAAGAGAUCGCCAAGCCGCUUCAUCCAAUCUGCCAUCUGCUCAACAGGUAAAGAAAAAAAAAAGAAAAAAGAAAGAAAGAAAGAAAGAAAGAAAGAAAGAAAGAAAACAGAGAAAACAAAAUCAAGCGUAUCAAAAAAUAAUAAUAAUAUAUAUAUAAAAAAAGAUCUCUUUACUUCCUCCCUUCUUUUUUUUUCUUUCUUUGGUCCUGCUAACGUAGUCAUCCUUACCGUCUAGAUGGCUUCGAUGGGAGAGUGGAGGGGAGCAAAUGGCUUCCCGUUUCUUCGGACCUCUCAAUACCCCAUUCGAAGUCGUUGAUGAUGGAAUGGGUGAUCUACAUUGCCGCGACCACCCCAACACCGACGGUUUGAUACUUCGAAAAAAGAGGAGAGGGGAAUCUUUGAUUCCCCGUUUCUUCGGACCCAUCAACAUUUCUUCGAAAAUGUCAGAUCAAAUCCGAUGGCCGAACAGAUCCACGCCAUCGUCAUCAACUUCGUCGACAUCAUCUACAACACCGACGGUUUGAUUCUUUCGAAAGAAGAGGGAAGGGGAAUCUUUGAUUCCCCGUUUCUUCGGACCCUUCAACAUUUCUUCGAAAAUGUCAAAUCAAAUCCGAUGGCCGAACAGAUCCACCCUACCGUCAUCAACUUCGUCGACGUCAUCUGCAGCAUCGUAAGAAGAGAGGAGGGGAAUCUUUGAUUCUCCGUUUCUUCGAACCCCAAAUCAAAAUUAAAAUGGGGAUUUCUUCGGACCCCAAAUUGGAACCAAAACGGGGAUUUCUUCGGACCCCAAAUCCAAAUCGAAAUCAAACGGGGAUUUCUUCCGACCCCAAAUCAAAUCCAAAUUGGAGGAUCAAAUGGGGAUUUCUUCGGACCCCAAAUCAAAGUUAAAACGGGGAUUUCUUCGGACCCCAAAUUGGAACCAAAAUGGAAAUUUCUUCGGACCCCAAAUCCAAAUCGAAAUCAAACAGGAAUUUCUUCGGACCCCAAAUCAAAUCCAAAUUUGAGGAUCAAACGGAGAUUUCUUCGAACCCCAAAUCAAAAUUAAAACGGGGAUUUCUUCGAACCCCAAAUUGGAACCAAAACGGGGAUUUCUUCGGACCCCAAAUCCAAAUCGAAAUCAAACGGGAAUUUCUUCGGACCCCAAAUCAAAUCCAAAUUUGAGAAUCAAACGGGGAUUUCUUCGGACCCCAAAUCAAAAUUAAAACGGGGAUUUCUUCGAACCCUAAAUCAAAUUGGAAAAUUAAAUCCAAAUUGGAGAAUCAAACGGGGAUUUCUUCAGACCCCAAAUCAAAUUGGAAAAUCAAAUCCAAAUUGGAACCAAAACGGAAAUUUCUUCAGACACCAAAUCAAAUCCAAUUGGAGAAUCAAACGGGGCUUUCUUCGGACCCCAAAUCAAAUUGGAAAAUCAAAUCCAAAUCCAAAUCAAACGGAGAUUUCUUUGGACCCCAAAUCCAAAUCGAGAUCAAAAGGAGAUUUUUUCGGACCCCAAAUCAAACCAAAAUCAAAAAGGGAUUUCUUUAGAUCCGUAUCAAGUUGCAAAUCAAGUUCACAUAAGAACCCAAACCAAACCAAAAUCCAAAUAAAAUCCAAACCAAACCAAAUCAAAUCCAAACCCAAAACGAAACCAAAUCCAAAUCCAGUCCACAUAAAAAUCCAAACCCAAAGUCCAAAUAAAAAACCCAAAACCAAAUACAGGCCACAAAUAAACCCAAACCCAAACCCAAACCAAAUACAGUCCACAAAUAAACACAAACCCAAAACCCAAAUCAAAUCCAAACCCAAACCCAAAUCAAGUGUAACACACUGGACCUUUGCAAAUUGCGAGGUUCGAGUGAUUGGAUGUGUUCUGAGUUUUUUCAGACUUUCUGGUGGGUAGUAGACAGUGUUCCGACCUAUGGUUCGAACCCCAAGGAUUGAGGUCUGAAGCCUAGCACCAAAACUCGAAAAAUCAGAUUUUUGGUUAGCUCUCGGGUAGCCUUCAUUGGGCUGUGUACCGGUAUAGGGUUGAUGGCUGUACCGGUACAGGGUUGAUGGUUGUACCGGUACGGGGUUGUGUACCGGUACACAGGCAGCUUUCCAGCCAACCCGAGGUUCGGGUUUGGCAUUUUCGUGGGAUGUGUACCGGUACGUGGGCCCGUGUAUCGGUACGCAGUGACAGAUUUUGAAUGAUCAAAACUGCAGGGGUGUUUUUGCAUUGUGGCUUCCCUAUAAUAGCACCCACGCCCCUAGGGCUGCUCUUUGAGCUUGCCACAGCAGAAAGAAGGUAAGGGGAGCUCCUUCGUGCUUCUCCUUGGUUUUGAUCUUUUUUUUUAGCUUGGAUUAAAGGUUUAAUCUCUCUCUUUUUCCCUUUUGGUGCAAUUCCACCAUGAUUGAAGCUUGGAGCUUGGAUUUGGAGCUUUGUUGAGGGGAGAUCUUUGGACUUGGAGAGUUUAGAGCUUGAUUGAAGCUUCUAAGAGGUAAUCUACUUGUUCUCUCUCUCUAGAUUUGAGUUUUGUUGUUGGAUUUGAGUUGAAACCCUACAAUGGAGACUUAGGGGUUUUUUGGGGCAUUUUGGAUUUAGGGCUUUUGGAGCUUGAUUGUUUGGAUUAGAACCCUCCUUUGGGUUGGAUUGGAAGGAUUCUAGCCUUCUUCGGAGCUUGUGAGAGUUUUCUCCACCUUAGGUGAGAUUUUAGCCCUUUUGCCUUGAUGGUUAAUAUUUGAUCUCAUAGUUGAUCGUAAUGCCCGUGUAUCUCUUCGCUCAUUACUUUUAGGGUUUUGAGACUCGUGGACUACUCCGUUCGGCGAAACGAGGGACUACGUGACGGUUCGGUGGGUUUGACCUAGCCACACAAUGAGAAAAUCUCAUUUGUGAUGAUUUGAGUAUCGUUAAAUGAUAAAGCAUGCAUAAUCAUGUUAGAUAUAUUUAUUAUGAAUUUUAGAAUGCUUAACAUGCCUAUGUAAUGUAUAGUAAAUUUUUGGACCUCUAUGUGGUAGAGUGUAUGCAUGUGAGAUAUAGCAUUCUAGUUGAGACUUGGAACCAUGAUUCCUAUUAUGAAAAUGAACAUUGUUUUCAUGCAUUUAACCUUUAUGCUCAUUUGUGACAUUAGGGACUUUGGAAGCCUAGAGAGGCUUGGGACUUAGACUAUUUGAGAAAUUGGACCAAUGUCAUAAAGAGGUAUUGGGCCCGGGCUAUAGUAAACAUUGGUAUUAAUGUCUUAAAUGGGAACAUAGAACAUGAUUUGGGCUUGAUUAGUUGUGGUGCUUAAGUGUCAUAAAGAGGCACUAAGCAAGUGAGUGUUGAGAUAUCACAUUGUGACAUAGAGCUAGACCGUUGGGUUACUAGUAGCUAUUGCCGUGUUUGAGACAUGAGGGUUAGAUACUUGAGCCUUUGACUACGCUUGCUUGCCAUUUGUGCUCAUUCGCACAUGCUUGUGAGGGUCGCUUCCUACAAGUCGGCACUCCGGAGUUAGCCUACGCGACCUAUGUUCGCGCGUGCAGUAUUGAGAAGCCUACGGGGUCGAGUGGGACGGACACAUUCCAAGAGCAAGAAUGUUGGGCUACCACAGGCACUUAGGCGGCACAAGUUAGACUACCUUGGGUAGGUCCUUAAUUGGAAAUGGAAAUCAACACGGUGUUGAGUGUGUUAUAAUCACUACUAGAUAGAGAGUAGUAGUUGGAUUACUUGGACUUGCUCCUAGCAUAGUGUUGGGCACUUGAGUAUACAUAUGUACAUGUAGCAUGCUAGGAGAUGUUGCUUAUUGCAUUCAUGUAAACAUUGUUUACCAUAGUAGAGCAUGAUCUGCAUAAUUUCAUAAAACAAACCAUGAUUGUUACUCGUGGUCAUGUAGGGACAUAUUUGUUCAUUAUGAUAUAAAGGUGCAUCUUAAUUGACACAAUAUAGUAUCUUAGCAUUUUAAUUAUGCUUUCUUAAAUGCAAAUUAUUCAUUAUUAUUGCUCUCUUUUUGACUUACCCUUUCUGUGGGGCUUAGUGGUGCAUUGAGCUGAGGUCAGUAAUUGCCCAUUGGGAACUAUAAAUUAUAGUUCUUACGCCCUCUGUUUUAUGUUUUCUUUCAGAGCCUUCCACGCCGAGACAGGCUAGGGACUGUGGGAAGGGCGUUGCUUCGAGCUAGCUCUUCAGCGAGAGACGAGUUGAUAAGUGGUCUACCUCUCGAUGUUUUUAUUUUGGAGAGGUUGAGAGCUGUACCAGUGUACUAGAGACCACCCUUUUGUGUACCAUUUUGGACAGAUAUCGUAUAACUAUAUGUUUCACUUUUAUUGCUUUAGUAUUUUUUUCCUUUUACCUUGUUGUAGAUGAUAGCUCUAUUUGUGCUCUGAUAUCUCUAGAUGUUAUUUAUCUUUGGUUUAUUUUUCGCUGUUAAUGUAGACGCCUUAUAUAUGCUGACAUAUGGCGGGUCUGGGCAUGCUACCGGGAGGGCCUCUGCCGGUCCCGGGGCGUGACAUCAAGUCCACAUCCAAACCUAACCCAAACCAAGUCCACAUAAAGAACCCAAACCCAUUCCACAAAUAAAAUCCAAACCAACCCAAACCAAGUCUAUAAAUAAACCCAAAAUUCAAACCGAAACCCGAACCCAAAACCAAAAUCCAAACCCAAUCCAAAUCAAGUCCACAAUCAAAAUCCAAAUCCAAAACCCAAAUCCAACUUCCAACUUAGGCUCAUGAACCUAAACCAUACCUAAGUUCGUGAACCAAAUCCCAAAUCCUAUACCCAAGUUCAUGAAUCAAGUCUCACGGACCAUACAACCAUACACCAAGUUCAUGAACCAUGAACCAUAAGCCAAGUUCAGAAACCUCAUCCAUGAACCAUAUCCAAGUUCAUGAACCAAAUCCCAUACACCAAACCUCAUAAACUAAACUUAUAAACCAUACACCAAGUUCAUGAACCAUGAAUCAUGAAUCAUGAUCCAAGUUCAUAAACCAAACCAAACCAAAUCUCAUGAACCAAAUCCCAUGAACCAUAUACGAAACCUCAUGGACCAUGAACCAAACCAUACCUAUGUUCAUGAACCAAGUCUCAUGAACCAAAUUUCAUGGACCAUACACCAAACCUUAUAAACAAUAACCAAAGUUCAUAAACCAAAUCCCAUCCCAUAGACUAUAUACCAAGCCUCAUGAACCAUACACCACAUCCCAUCCUAUGAACCAUACACCACAUCCUAUCCUAUGAGCCAUACACCAAACCAUACCCAAAUCUCAUGGACCAUAUCCAUGAACCAAACCUCAUGAGCCAAUAUCCAAAUCUCAUGAACUAUAUCCAUGAACCAAAUCUCAUGAGCCAAUACUCAAAUCUCAUGAACCAUAUCGCCUACCCCUAAUACAUAGGGCUAAGUCAAUCGCCUUAGUACAUAUAACUAAGGCAAAAUAUCUCCAAAAUCGACAGAGUUCUAAACUAUAUACUUAGAAUUCAAUCACAUGAUAUCAAGUUCAUUCGAAUUCUAACACAUAUACUUAGAGUUCAUCCGACUAACCCUAAUACAUACCCUUAGGGUCUGGUCAACCUUUUACUCUAGCACAUAUACCUGGAGUGGAAGUCAAACCAAGCUCAACUAGUCUUAACACAUAGACUUAGGGCCUAGUCAGCCUUUUGCUCUAGCACAUCUAUCUAGAGUGAAAUCCAUACCCGAUCGAGCUCUAAUACAUAUACUUAGAGCUUAUGCAAAUCAAAUCCGACGAAACCUAACAUAAUACCUCGGGGCUUAGUCAGAUCCUCACUCUAUAUAACUAGAGUGAAAAAUAUAUUAAACUUGGUUAAUCUUGAUAUAUACACUCAGGAAUUAGCCACUCUCUACUUUUGGAUAAUAUCAAAUCCGACCUACCUCAAUACAUAUACUUGGGGUUUGGUCACUCUAAGACAUAUACUUAGAGCCAAUUAGACUCUAAUACAUAGAAUUUAAUAUCGACUAGGUCUUAACACAUAUACUUAGGACCUAGUCAAUUUCAAAUUCAACUGAAUCCUAAUACAUAUACUUAGGAUUCAAUAAACCAAGAUAUGAUUCAUUCAAUCCCAUCUAUAAAGGUCUCUUAAUUGAAGGUGCCCCAAUCUACAGGGGGUAAUUAACAAUAGAUGCUUGCAUCUAUUGGAAGCCAUAGAUCCGCAAUACCUGAUACCCACAUACAUAUAGAUACUCAUCUGAAUCAUGAAUACUACCCCACGGCCUAAAAUCCAUCGACCGUGCGGGGUGCGUCAUUCGUGGUGGCAGACACUGCCGUCACAGCCUACCGCACCUUUGACUUAACCAUCUAGUGGCGAACUCAUCGCAUCGAACCCAACAACGACUCAAGUCAUGACUUAGCCAUCUGGUGACGAACUCAUCGCAUCAUACCCAACAAUGGUUCAAGUCGUGACUUAGUCAUCUGGCAACGACCACAUCGCCCUUACCCAGCAAUGGUUCAAGUCAAUCUAGGCGGCAUCCAAUAAGCUAAAUGGGCGAGGAGAACCACACAUACCCAAUUCGAGCUUAUUCUCAUGGCAUCCCGGGUGAGGACAACAACACAUACCCGUUGAAUCACUGCCAGGCGAGGAGAACCACACAUACCUUCAGUUAUGAUUCUAUUUGCCAUCUCUUUUACCACAAGUUCCCACCGCUUCUUUUGCGGCCACCUCACUAGGAAUUCCAGAAUCCACUUCACAUAACUCAAGGGUUAGCCUCAAACCCUAUAGUAUUGACCUAUCUAGGUCCAAUGUCCUUGUCACCCUUGGUCCAACUGACUCUAGGCUUAAUACCUCUAUCACAUAACUUAGGUUUACUUUAACUCUAGGCUCAAUUCUCAACCUAUGUUCUCGACACUAGGUUAAUGCCACACACCUAGAUUUAAUUAACUCUAGGUUCAUUCUCAACCUAUGUUCUUUAACACUAGGUUAGAUGCCACUCGACCUAUAUUUAAUAACACUAGGUUCAUUGUCAUUCAUGUUCAACCUAUGUUUAAUACACUAGGUUAAGUGCCACUCGAUCUAUUCGACAUCCUAAUUGUCCACAUCGAGUUCAAUAGAUAUCCACAUUUUAUCUAGCAUGCAUUAUAUAAUGCCAAUAUGCAUAUUCUUUCUAACAUGAUCUCAUAGCUCCAAAAUGCUCCUAGUAUUUAUUCUUCUACUUGUUGUAAAAUAUUUUUAAAUUCAUUUCUAAGCUAAAUGGAAUUUAUAUGAAUUUUAGAGCACUUAAAAUGCAUGCCUUGUGUAUUAUGAAAAUUUUCCUAUAUAGUAGAGCGAAAUGAGUAGAAUGCAUGCAUACGGGAGAAGUGUUUAUUUUGCAAGCGGAAAUUACACCUCUUAUGAGGGUUAUGACUUGGAAUAUGUACUUGGGAACAUAGUUGCCAUGCUCGGGCAUAGAGAACAAGAGUGUCAUCAGGGGGCACUUGAAACUAGUAAACUAUGAAACUGCAAUAUAGAGAUAUAUUGAUAGGCCACUACAUAUCUGCUAUAUUCCAUGUUAGAGACAUGAUGACAUAGGGAUAGGCCAUUGGGAUACUUGACACAUUCCAUGUUAUUUGACAUGAGGACUUGGUACUUGCGACAGAUCGUUUGACUACUUGCCAUUGUGCUCAUUCGCAAAUGCUUGUGAGGGUCGCUCCCUACAAGCCGGCACUCCGGAGAUAGCCAUCGCGAUUCAUAUUCGCCGUGCGGGAUUGGGCGCCGAAGUGGAUUGCCGCGGGACAGGCUCAUUCCUAGGGUGGGGAUGAUGACUACCACGGGGCCAUUAGGCUCGGCACCGGCUAGACAGCUUACGGGUGGGUCUCAGGGCCGUAGACAGCCUUCGGGUGGGUCUCUUCAGAUUUGACUUUGAGUAUUCAUUAUGACAUGGGGACAGAUGAUGACUUAGUGUACUACUUGGACAUUAACUAGAAUAGUAAACAACGGAACUUUACUAUUUCGCAUUGUGAACAUUAUGAUAGUUGGAGACUUUUACUUCAUGCAUAGUUGCUUUAUACUUAUGCUAAUUAUGCUAAGAAGAGAUAUCAUGUUGUAGUAAGUUAUAUUUUUAUUUACCUUUCGCUUUUCUACCUUUAUAGUCACUGACAUCUUUUGUAACUUUGGGCCUUGUGGUGCAUUCACUGAAGUCAGUAAUUGCCCACUGGGAACUAUUUUAAUAGUUCUCACGCCCCUGUUUUAUGGUUUACUUUUCAGAGCCUUCGGCACCGGCGGAGGCACGGGUCGCGGCAAGGGGAUCGCUUAGCUAGCUAGCGAGGAGCGGUACUUUGCCUAGGUGGUUUACUCUUUCUUUUUUGUAGUUGAGAGAGUGAGAGGUUUUUGUAUCCAUGUAUAGAGACCACCUAUGUAUCUACCUAUAGCACUUGUAUCCGGAAUUUUCUUGUAUCACUUUAUGUCUUAUUUAGUGGAUUUACAGUUUUAUCCUUAUCUUUUGUUGUAGCAUUUAGACAUUUAUUAUGCUCUAAUACUCCUAGAUGUCUUUUACUAUUACUUUUAUU